UCCUUUUUUUCUUUUUUUAUAUAGAUCAUGUGAAUCUACAUCUGAAAGAUGUUGCUCAUUUCACCUUCCUGUUAGUCAGAUUGGCUUCCACUUCCUACAAUUUUUUGUUAAACAACAAAUUCUAGUAGUUUUCUUGACAUUGCUAACUCUUUAAGUUUAUCAUCUUGGGAUUCUUGUAAAUUGGAAGUUUCCACUUUUUAGCUUAUUUAGAUUAGACAAGUUCAUUUAUAGACCAUACUUUAUUGGUCCUAUAGUGGCCCUACAGUUUUGACAUAAAGAGUAGUUUUUUUUUUUAGGCGAUUUGGAUAUAUUUAUGUAUGGCAAUCUACCUGAUAAUGUUACCAUUUUAUAGCAGAUCACGAACUUUUUGGCUUGUAUAUCAGUUUGUAAUUAUGUUUCUUUACCUCUAAUUAUAAAUUAUAUCAACUUAAUAUUUAUUUGUGACACCUUAGUAUGUAUUAUUUCUUACAGGUAAAAUAUCUUGGAGAGGAUAGAGAAAAGGUUCCUUUAGCUGGUGCAGUAGUUAUUUGCUCCCCAUGGGACCUUUUGGUUAAUGCUUUAUCUUUAGCAAAAAUGCAGCUAUUAAGUAGCACGAGUUUUAUGGAAGAAAUUUAUCAUAGUUCCAUUAUUUGUUAACCACAAUUUUGAAAUAAUUUGCUCAUUAAAUAUAUUCUGAGUAUGCCAUUGUAUUAUUCUUUUGGUUCCUUUUUUUUUUUUUGAUCCAACAAGUUUCAUGAAAGAAAUUUCUCAUAUUUCCAUUAUUUGUUAACUGUAGGAUUUUUUAUUUGAAGAAUGUUAACUACUAGUUUUGAUCACUUUACUCUUUAAUUUAUUCAGAUUAUGCCAUUGUAUUCUUUUUUUUUGUCUUUUGGUGGUGGUGAACACCAUGGGGAUGGGGGGUUGGUAUAAAAAAAAGAUGAAUUAAUUGAUAUGAAAUAAAGAAAACAGAGUAUUUACAAUCGCAAGAUCAAAUCAUUAACACCUUAAGUAUCAAAUACAAUGAAGGUCUUUAGUCCAUAAAACAUCUUAAGAUUGACCCUUCAACCUUUCAAGACAGAGCAGACAAUCCAUUCCAUCUCAAUAUGAAGACAGGAAGAUGCAAAUCCAAUGACCAAAUGCUGUUUUGAGUACAGUGUAGAUCUGCCAAUUUGAGUACUCUUUCCCAUGCUUGAUAUCUUUGUAAACCACCUCAGAAUCAGUUUCAAUGAUUAUUCUCUUACAACCUUUAGCUUUAGACAACUAUAUCCCUUCUCUCAUAGCUAGAGUGUCUGUUACUUGUAUGGAAUCAGCAUUUACCUUCUUCUUAGCCCUCCAUGUAGAUCACCUUUAUUACCCUCAUAGCAACUUGUAUACCAUUAUCUUUAACUUCCAGAUUAUAAGGGCCAUUGUAGUUGAUCUUUAUUUAACCUAUGGAGGUCCUUGUUGCUGCAUUGUCUCUACUGGCAGGUUCCCUUGCUCCUUUAUCUUCAUAGUUUUAUCUUCCAAGGAUUCCCAUGCAGCUGAAUAUGCCUGGUAUAUGGUAGUUACACCACUUGGACUGUUCUUUUUGAAAUAUGCUUCUCUUCUAGCUUUCCAAUUAUCUAACAAGUGAAAGCUAUGUGCAAACAUGAAGCCACUUUGACUUGUUUUCCUUUUUCCACUGUAAGCACUCGCAUCAUCAAUCGAUUUAUUAUAGUUAGUUAUACCUUCUUGAUCAACCUUAUAACCCACACUGCUAGCAAACCAUUCUUUCUCAGUUUAAUCAUAAAGUAGUGAUACAUGUUCUACAUUUUUUAUUUUCUUAUUGUAAAAUGGAAGAGGAGAGUUCAUAUGGUUCUUCCGCCACUAGUUAUAUUUAUUAGCUAAUUAACUAUUACAGGCCUUCACAAAAAACCUGUGAGUUAGAUUGGAAAAAAUAGUGCAAGAUUAAUUUCCACUCUUUGAUCUACAAUGUGAAAAAGGAGUAGAUGAAUUUUGGGUAUUUGGCCUCUUUUUGAUAGAAACCAGAUUUUUCUCUAUACUCCUAAGGAUUGAGGUCUCAAGUGGCCUAAUCAAAAUGUCCUCUCUCCCAAUCUGACUCAUAGGGACAGUAGAAAUUGCCUUCAGAGCUGCUAGAGAUAACAAAUGCUUCUAUUCCUUCCAAGAUCAUUCAGGCCCAAGACAAUUUUGCACCCUUUACAGCCUCUAUUAAUAUUAUGAGGAAAGUGAAUUCCUUUCAGGCCCUAUAGGCCUCUCCAACAUUACUUUGCUAGGAGGGCAUUAUCAAAAGGAUUCAUGUCCUUAAAUCCUAUUCCUCCUUCUCCUUGCUGCGAGUAAGUUUUUGCUACUUUGCUGAUGCAUCUUACUUUAAUCUUGUCCUUACCUUCCCCAAAAUUUUGCCAUAGCUGUAUUGACUUCAUCACAUAUCUUCUUAGGUAGCUUAAAACUAGGUUGUGUAAGUUGGGAUUGCACGUUCAAACUUUUUGAGAAGUAUUUAUCUUGCUUCUUGAGGUAAAAUUUUCAGCAUCCUUUCUUCACAUAUCUUAUGAGUUUAUUAAACUCCCCCUGUACUGUAUUCUUGAUACUAACAACAGUCAUACUGCAUGGUUAACAAGUGACCUUUGAUUUACCAUCUAAAGCAGCUGAUAUGGCACCAUUUAGCAAUAGGUGGAUAGGCACAACCUGAAUAUAAAACCACGACAAACCCUGGGCUUAACCAAUAUGGUAUAACACCACAUAACACUCUUGCUCAUGUAUAGGCCUAAUAAUAAUAACAAUUGAGACAAAUGGUGCUUCUGCAUGCAUCAGUACAAGGUAACAAACAACUUAGUCUAUCAUACCAUGUAAAGGCAUCCAACUUAAAAGGAGGCUGCAAUAAUACAUUGAAUUUAACUAAUCUGUGAUAAAAGUAGUUAACUAUGGGGACAAAGAAGAAGGUUAGAAAAGAGACAAUGAUACAAAUGUUGUUAUUGGUAUUGGGACUUGAAUCUAUUUAGACAUGGUUGUUAGUAAUCAUGAUUUUAUGUAUAUUGCAUUGUAUUUUUGCAUAGACUUUUCUGUAAGAUUGGAUGGAUUGUAAUUAGCUUCUUUUAACGUGGAAGUUUUCUUGCAACAAUAGUGUGGGCUCACAUGCACUUGGCAGGACUAAUUUAAACUUGAUUCUACAAAUUUUAAUAUCAUCUAUUGGAGGUUUUUGCAUCUUUCUUUGAAUCUUUUUGCAAAUUGACUAUAUUAAUGAAGUUAUAUAUUGGAUAAAAGGGAAAGACCAUGUAAGGAAUGUUGUCAAUUCACUUACUUAUAGAAAUCUUCAGAAUAUGUUUAGAAAAUGAUGUGAAAUUGAGGUAUAAGAUUGAUGUUACUCCUUUGAUGGUGUCUAGCUGGUGUUCCGCAUUCUUGAAUGGGAAAAUAGAGGAAAAGGAUUUUUGCCAAGCAUUACCAUACUGGAUUGUUGAGUCUGCAAUCAAGGGAUAUUUAUCAUGUGAGUUUACUUGUAUUUUCACUAUUGAGAGUAUUGAGGGCGACUUCUCUUUAAUUGCAUCAAGUCAAGUGUAUGCUUUCUACAUGCACACUAUGGUUCUUUAGCCCAUUGAUUAAGAUUUAUUUCUUCUCAUGAGUGAUAAUGCAAAAGAGAUUUAUGAAUAUCAUUAUAUAGAAUUGUUAAAGAGAUACAUAACUAACUUCUUUAUUGAUCUUAUAUCAUAGAAAGAUAUUCUAGUAUCUCAAGAAAUAAACAUUUUAGUCUUUAGUAAUAGAAACUACUGGAAUAGCUUAUGGAUUCUGAGAUUGUUACGACCCAAUUUCCCGGGCCAUGACCGACGCAUGAGCUCAAUGAGCAUAGCUCACUAAGCCCAAGCAAGCCUAUCCAUUUACCUUUGCUUAACAAAUUUAUCAUAUCAUGCAUACACACACACCUUUUUCUGGGUGUGAACAUAGCCAAAACAUAAUGACAUUAUCGAUAAUAAUAUACAUGCACUAUACCAGUCAUGUAUUUAGCAAUUUACAUUGCAUACACAUAUUCACAUUGUUAGAUUGUAUUCACAAUACAAAAAGACCCAUAACUUCCAACAGAGACAUUUACAAUAAAAUGGAUUACUAUCGAAUGUCAGACACAUACCCAGGAGAUGCACUAUGGGGACUCCUCAAUCUAGGGUCCAACAGUCACCUGAUCUGAAAACAUGAAUUUUUAUAAAACGUGAGUACAAUACUCAGUGAGUGAACAAGNNNNNNNNNNNNNNNNNNNNNNNNNNNNNNNNNNNNNNNNNNNNNNNNNNNNNNNNNNNNNNNNNNNNNNNNNNNNNNNNNNNNNNNNNNNNNNNNNNNNNNNNNNNNNNNNNNNNNNNNNNNNNNNNNNNNNNNNNNNNNNNNNNNNNNNNNNNNNNNNNNNNNNNNNNNNNNNNNNNNNNNNNNNNNNNNNNNNNNNNNNNNNNNNNNNNNNNNNNNNNNNNNNNNNNNNNNNNNNNNNNNNNNNNNNNNNNNNNNNNNNNNNNNNNNNNNNNNNNNNNNNNNNNNNNNNNNNNNNNNNNNNNNNNNNNNNNNNNNNNNNNNNNNNNNNNNNNNNNNNNNNNNNNNNNNNNNNNNNNNNNNNNNNNNNNNNNNNNNNNNNNNNNNNNNNNNNNNNNNNNNNNNNNNNNNNNNNNNNNNNNNNNNNNNNNNNNNNNNNNNNNNNNNNNNNNNNNNNNNNNNNNNNNNNNNNNNNNNNNNNNNNNNNNNNNNNNNNNNNNNNNNNNNNNNNNNNNNNNNNNNNNNNNNNNNNNNNNNNNNNNNNNNNNNNNNNNNNNNNNNNNNNNNNNNNNNNNNNNNNNNNNNNNNNNNNNNNNNNNNNNNNNNNNNNNNNNNNNNNNNNNNNNNNNNNNNNNNNNNNNNNNNNNNNNNNNNNNNNNNNNNNNNNNNNNNNNNNNNNNNNNNNNNNNNNNNNNNNNNNNNNNNNNNNNNNNNNNNNNNNNNNNNNNNNNNNNNNNNNNNNNNNNNNNNNNNNNNNNNNNNNNNNNNNNNNNNNNNNNNNNNNNNNNNNNNNNNNNNNNNNNNNNNNNNNNNNNNNNNNNNNNNNNNNNNNNNNNNNNNNNNNNNNNNNNNNNNNNNNNNNNNNNNNNNNNNNNNNNNNNNNNNNNNNNNNNNNNNNNNNNNNNNNNNNNNNNNNNNNNNNNNNNNNNNNNNNNNNNNNNNNNNNNNNNNNNNNNNNNNNNNNNNNNNNNNNNNNNNNNNNNNNNNNNNNNNNNNNNNNNNNNNNNNNNNNNNNNNNNNNNNNNNNNNNNNNNNNNNNNNNNNNNNNNNNNNNNNNNNNNNNNNNNNNNNNNNNNNNNNNNNNNNNNNNNNNNNNNNNNNNNNNNNNNNNNNNNNNNNNNNNNNNNNNNNNNNNNNNNNNNNNNNNNNNNNNNNNNNNNNNNNNNNNNNNNNNNNNNNNNNNNNNNNNNNNNNNNNNNNNNNNNNNNNNNNNNNNNNNNNNNNNNNNNNNNNNNNNNNNNNNNNNNNNNNNNNNNNNNNNNNNNNNNNNNNNNNNNNNNNNNNNNNNNNNNNNNNNNNNNNNNNNNNNNNNNNNNNNNNNNNNNNNNNNNNNNNNNNNNNNNNNNNNNNNNNNNNNNNNNNNNNNNNNNNNNNNNNNNNNNNNNNNNNNNNNNNNNNNNNNNNNNNNNNNNNNNNNNNNNNNNNNNNNNNNNNNNNNNNNNNNNNNNNNNNNNNNNNNNNNNNNNNNNNNNNNNNNNNNNNNNNNNNNNNNNNNNNNNNNNNNNNNNNNNNNNNNNNNNNNNNNNNNNNNNNNNNNNNNNNNNNNNNNNNNNNNNNNNNNNNNNNNNNNNNNNNNNNNNNNNNNNNNNNNNNNNNNNNNNNNNNNNNNNNNNNNNNNNNNNNNNNNNNNNNNNNNNNNNNNNNNNNNNNNNNNNNNNNNNNNNNNNNNNNNNNNNNNNNNNNNNNNNNNNNNNNNNNNNNNNNNNNNNNNNNNNNNNNNNNNNNNNNNNNNNNNNNNNNNNNNNNNNNNNNNNNNNNNNNNNNNNNNNNNNNNNNNNNNNNNNNNNNNNNNNNNNNNNNNNNNNNNNNNNNNNNNNNNNNNNNNNNNNNNNNNNNNNNNNNNNNNNNNNNNNNNNNNNNNNNNNNNNNNNNNNNNNNNNNNNNNNNNNNNNNNNNNNNNNNNNNNNNNCCCUUGUGCUCCAAAAAUACCGAGAAUCACAAUUUUUCACUGCUAAACAUCAUUUUAUACUCCAAUAAUCAUAAUUAUAUCUCAUAUAAUUAUUCUUGGUCAAAUGUGAUCAAAUCUUGGCUAAAAAUCUCCAUUUUAUCAUCAAAUGGUAAAAUGAUCAUUUUGUCCCUAAUUGAUCAAUUUUUCUGAUGGACUCCAAACUGGACCUUGAACUCCAAAUCACUAUUCUAAACCAUUCUAUGGGUUUUAAAAUUUUCAAAUUCCUCUUAAAAUUUCUAUUUGAACUAGUUCAAUGCUCGAUUUAACUUAGUUGUACCACUCAGUACAAUACCGUCUUUUAAUUGAGCUUGACAAGGUCUCACAGAGAUGGUGAACACAAGUGUUGUGCCUUUCAUGGUGGUCAAAAAUUACGCAACUAUUUGUGACACCAGCAUAAUAAAGGUUUGUGAGCAUGUGUAUGCAUAAUAUGUGUCUUCAUGCAUUUCUUUGUUUUGGUUUGUAUUGAUAAUAGUGGAAUUGCCUUUAUAAAUACUAAGAUGGUGCUCGUAGCUACGCUACGAAAAAGAUCACAGGAAAUAUAGAUUAUGUGGGAGUGGACUUCAAUUUGGUACUUUCAAAAGAGUUUGUAGGGGAAGCAAUAUUGUAUUAGUCAACUGCAUAAAUAUAUGAUUUUUGCUAGUAAACGAAAAGAUAAACUGGUAUUAAUUGAAAAUAGUUAUUUGCUAUGGUUUCAAUCACUAAAAGUUGCUCCUAAAUAUAUGAUUUUAAAAACGUAGUUAACCAAAGAAGAUAAUAAUCCUGUUAAACAUCCAGUAAUUUUUUUCCAUUAAAAAUAUAUUACUUAAACAAAAUGAAUAACAUUUGUGUUUUAAACGUUUUUCAUUUUUGUUAGAUGAUGUAUAUCAUCUUUCUAGAUGCAAGACUUGUACUUAUCAAAAUGUUAAAGGAAUAUCAACUGUUACACAAUUGUCAGAUAUGUCUAACUAUAGUGACAGUUUGCUUUUCCUUUUGCCUUAUACAUUGGUUCCAUUUCCUUGGUUUUUGUUGUUGUACUAUAUUGUAUUAUUAAACUGCAUGAAUGUAUGGUUCUUACUGGUAGAGGAAAAGAUAAAUUGGUAUUAAUUGAAGAUAGUUAUGUGCUUUGGUUUCACUCACUAAAAGUUGCUUCUAAAUAUAUGGUUUUAAAACAGUACUUAACCAAAGAAGAUAAUAAUCUUGUUAAACAUUCAAUAAUUUUUUUUCAUUAAAAAUAUAUUACUCAAACAAAAUGAAUAACAUUUGUGAUUUGAAGGUUUCCAUAUUUGUUAGAUGAUGUAUAUCAACUUUCUAGAUGCAAGACUUAUACUUAGCAAAAUGUUAAGGGAAUAUAAACUACUACACAACUGUCUGAUUUGUCUAACUAUGGUGACAGUUUGCUUUUCCUUUUGCCAUAUACAUUUGUUUUCAUUUUUUUGGUUUCUGUUGUUGUGCUAUAUUGUAUUAUUGAACUACAUCAAUGUAUGGUUCUUAUUGGUAGAGAAAAAGAUAAACUAGUAUUAAUUAAAGAUAGUUAUUUGUUCUGGUUUCCAUUACUAGAAAUCUGCACCUACAUAUAUGGGUAUAAAACAGUACUUAUCCGAAGAAGACAAUAAUCCUAUCAAAGAUUGUUAGAUGUAUAAUAAAAUAUUAAGAAAUCAAAAAGUAUAUAACCUGGACUUUGGCAAAUUAAGAUAAACAGCUGUAGAAUGUAAAGUAACAGUAUAAUGUAAAGAUCCUAUCAAUAUAAAAUAAUACUAAUUUCUAGUAGUAUCUGUUUUUUUUGUACAAAAUGAUUGGCUAAAGGUUGUCAAAUUCAAUUGAUUUGUUUAUUCAAUGAUGACUGUGUGCUAUGUAUAUUAAGAAAUAAGUAGACCUUUUUGACUUUUUUAUUUUGUUCAAUGAAUUGGAUGGAUAUUUAUUAAAAUUUAAACAUUUAUUUAUAAAAGAGAUAUCUAAAUACUAUGGAUUUAAGUUCUUAUAGAAUAAGAGGGUACAGAUAAAAAAUAAUAUUAAAUUGUAAUUGAUAAAUAUUAAAUAAAUCUAUUCUCUAAGCAUUAAAAGUUAGAAAUUAUUGUUUUUAAGUAUUUUUUGUUAAAUUUUGGUAUUUUAAGGAAAUAAUAAUUUUAUCUCAAGAAGGAAACCAGUAGAGCUAGAGAGAAAAAAUUGAGUCUGGGAGAAAGAUGAGAAACACAUUAAUACAAUCUUUCAUUCAUUUUCAACUUUUAUAAGAAGUCAAUUCAGUUACAAAGAGUAUUAACAUCAAACUGUAAAGAACAUGGACCAAUAAUAAAAGAGUGAAUGAACACACUCUCCACUACUUGGCUAAUACCAAGUAACUGCCAACCUAUGCAUAAUACAAAACAUGGUCGCUUUUCCAGAGCCACUAAUUACUAAUAAAAUUCAAAAUACACAACAUAAAAUAAAACUAAUUAGACACCACUUUUAGCACAUGAUCUUCUUCCUUGCUUUAAAACACAUUAGGACAAACAACCAUGUCAUGUGCAGACAAAGCUCAAUUUCUAGCACACCUCCUUGAGGUCUGUCUUGCAAAUGUCUAGCUUCAAUCUCAGAGUCAGGAAUUUUUCUUUGUUCAAUCCUUUACCGAAAAUAUUCGGCAGCUGUUCGUCAGUGCUGCAAUAAUUCACAAUGAUUUCUUCAUCCUUCUAAGUUUCUCUAAUUGCAUGAAAUCUGACUUUGAUAUGUUUGGUACUACCAUACUGCAUUGGAUAAUUUCUGGUUAAGUCAUUUAUGAACCGUGGGAAAUAUAGACUUUCAUUGAGUGAUGCAAUUUCCAUAAGGCCCCGAACAUUUGAAUGGAUAAGUUGUUUAUUUGCUUUCCAAUUGCUCAUUUUUGGAAAUGAUGUCAUGCUUUGCUUGCAAAAUUGACAAGUUCCACAAAUCUUUUCUAGUUUGAUAACUCUUGACAAUCCUUCCACCAUAUUUGAGGUUGCCAUGAGACUUAAUGAGUCAUGAUUCACACGAUCAAGCCUUCUAUACUUCAGUUUUGCAUUGGUGGAUAGACAUUUGUAUGCCUAUUGCUUUACUUUCAUCCAGUUCAUAGGGAAACAGUUGUUUUGCGUUUCCACAGUAAACAACUCAUUGCCAUUAGCAUCAGAAAUUUUGCAACAUCUAUCUUUAAACAGUAAAAUAUAAUUACUAUCUACUAAUUGCCCUACACUGAGGAGGUUUGGAUUUACCUUUAGAGCAUACAUCACAUCUGCAAUUGAUUUGAUGCCAGUCAAAGUUUGAACUCCUACCGUGCUAAUUCCUUCAAUCUUCAAAUAAUCACCAUUUCCAAUCUCAACUUGGGACUUGUAACUCUUGUCCAAGUUGAUGAAAUUUUCUUCCUCCCCUAUUAUAUGAUUGGAGUAGGCACUGUCAAUGAGCCAAGUAUGUGCUCUUUCUGAGUCAUCACAUUUCCUCACCAUAAACAGAAGCUCGUUCUCUUCUUCUUGUUGUUCCACCACUGUAGCUAUCUCAUAUUUUCGAGUGUCUUUAUCCUUACAAACUUUUUCCACAUGGCCUAUUUGGUUGCAGGAUCUGCACUUAACGUCGGGUCUAAACCAACAAAAUUUCUCUAAAUGAUUUUUCUUCUUACAGUAGGAACAUGGAAGAAACCCUUUCUUCUUUUUAUCAUUUUUGUCACGAUCAUUUUUCCUAUCAUGACCAAUCACUCUUGCCAUUAGUGCUCCUUCAAUCGACUUUUCUUGCCUGAGAGCUCUUCUUUGCUCUUGGGCUUGAAGAGUAUUAGCUAGCUCAGUAACCGAGAGUUGUGAGAUAUCCUUUGAGUCCUUCAGAGAAGAAAUUUUGGCUUCAAAUUUCUCUGACAGGCUCACAAGGAUUUUAUGCACAAUCCUUCACUCAAAUAGAUUCUCGCCUAACAGUCUUAACUGGUUCACAAGCUUCAUAACCUUGUCUGUAUAAUCUUUGACACUCUCAUCAUCCUUCAUUCUCAACAGUUCAAAUUCUCUAAGCAGAUUAAGCACUUGAAUUUGCCUAGUCCUAUCCCUGCCAUGAAAUUCCUCCUUUAAUCUGUCCCAAGCCUCCUUAGCUGUCUCACAUGCCAUGAUUCUGGUAAAGAUUGUGUCAGAAACAGCAAAGUGAAUACAUGAUAACGCCUUAAAUCUCUUUGCGACUUCUUCACUAUACUGUUUCAACUAGGCUGUGGUUGGGUUCUGCUGUCUCAAUUCAGGAGGUUCACCUCCUAUUUCCACAAUAUCCCAUAGGUCGAAAGCCCUGAGAUAGGCUUUCAUUUUGAUAGCCCAUAUGGCAAAGUUCUCGCUUGGGAACACUAGAGGAGCAGUGGUGUUGAAGUUAAAAGAUGCCAUGAGAGAACUCAAUUGAAAAAAGCUAAUUGAGAAGAGAAACAUUUUACUCGAGAUUUUCUUUUCAAAGUACUGGUUUUCAACACUGGUUGGUCCCUUAAGAUCACUGAGAAAGCUUUGAUACCAUGUUAAAUUUGGUGUUUUAAGGAAAUAAUAAUUUUAUCUCAAGAAGGAAACCAAUAGAGAUAGAUAGAAAAAAUCGAGUCUGAGAGAAAGAUGAGAAACACACUGAUAUAAUCUCUCAUUCAUUUUUAACUUCUAUAAGAAGUCAAUUCAGUUACCAAGAGCAGUAACAUAAAACUGUAAAGAACAUGGACCAAUAAUAAAAGAGUGAUAUGAAUCCACUUUCCACUACUUGGCUAAUACCAAGCAACUACCAACCUAUGCAUAACACUGAACAUGGUCUGUUUUUCAGAGCCACUAAUUACUAAUAAAAUUCAAAAAACAAAACAUAAAAUAAAACUAAUUAGACACCACUUUUAGCAGAUGAUGUUCUUCUUUGCUUUAAAACACAUAGGCACAAACAGCCAUGUCAUGUGCAGACAGAGCUCAAUUUCUAACAUUGUUUAUGUAAUAAAUAAAAGUAAAAAAAAAAAGCAAAAAACGUACUUUUGACAUAAGGUGUACAAAAAAAAAUUAAUUCAAUUGAGAAUGACAGGUAUCAACCAAUUGAUCCAAUCAGUUAUCCUACUUUUAUAUAUAUUAUAGAUAUAUAUGCAAUCGAUUAAGUAUAUUAAUCCUCGGCCCUAAAGUAUAAUCAAAUUAUCUAGAGAUUCAAAGCUACAAUAAUAAUUAACUAGAAAUCCACAAAAACAGAAAACAAUCAUUUUGGUCAGGUUGAACUGAUGUACACUAAGCUGGAAGUGAAAACUAAUUUUUCUAGCCUUGGCAAUCAAAAUCGACAGAAUCUGACUAUUUAUGUUAAUCAUUUCUGUGGGUGAAUUCUAGCCCUGGCACCUGCCAAAUAACAACAUUAGCUCUUGAAUUAACUCUCACCCAUCUCCCGUGACAUUCUGCACUUUCCACUCAUUUGCAUUACCUAAUUAUUACAAGUAGAUAUUAUGAUGUGUAAAAAUAGAUUUAUGUUGAUAAAUACUUCUUAUGCAGGGCCUGGUGUUCAAAGUUACCUGAGUUAUCACAUUUUAUUUGCCUUAGCCACAUCAAGUUACAACUUUUUUGACAUUGAGCAGGACAUGCCAUCAUACAUUUGAAUCUGCAAUUGUUCUUCAUUUUAAUGUCUACUCUUUUUUUUUUUUGUGUUUUUAAUUUUAUAUCUUUUGCAGAUUGGUGACAGGUUUAUAUGCCGCAGGCUGGUGCAGAAGUUAUAUGAUAGAGCCCUUACAAUUGGCCUUCAAGGUUAUGCAAAACUGUAAGUCCUACAUUUUUCAAAUAAAUUGUUAGAUGUGAAGCCUAUAUGUACAGGUUCUUGGUAUCUGAAACUCAACAAUGUCGAAACCUUUUUGUUUAUUUUCAGAGGCAUAAAGAGAGAUGCCUCAGUAAUGAUGUACCUAGUAACUGAUUUUUGUAACAAUUCAUUUGGCCUUUGAAACUUAAGAGCACCUAAAAUACCUGUUUUGGGGGGACCAGGGAGGUGUUGCUGAUGAUUUUCCAGUAAUAAAGUAAUUAAUAAAUUUUCAUUAUCAAUUUUCUGGAGUUGAUAAUGUUUAUUGCAGGCAUGAGCCUCGUUAUUCUCGGCUAGCUAAUUGGGAAGGCAUAAAAAAGGUUAGUUUCUUCUUCAAUGCAAGGACCAUCUCUUCUUGGGGAUAUUGCAUUAGUGUAGAAAGAAUAAUAGAUCUGAAAGAAAAUCAUGCUGUUCUGUAGUUUCUCAUACUGCAAUAAUCAACCAUCAUUUAUCUAGUAAUUGACCACCUUAUGUUUUAGAAAAAACUUUCCUCAUUUUGCUUUCAUCUUGGGAAAAUUAACUAUAAAAGAGAUUGAUUUAUAGUAAGUGUUCUUAUCCCUUGCUUCUUCCAGGCCUGUCCUGGAUAAUUUUCACAUGAAAACAUUGAGCAUGAUUACAUGUAGUAAUUUGUAGACAUGGAUGCUUACCAUCUUUUGUUCCCUAAAUGGAAGACAUAGGUCAUAACUACAAAUAAAAAAAUUUUCCGCAAGCUUCAUGAACUUUCUGAAGCGUUUUCUCCCUCGCUACCUUUUCUGCUUCUAUGAUCAUAGAUGAGAAAUUUCUGCAGCAGGAAAGAAGUAUAUAUGCAAUGAGCUACGGAAAAUUUCUGUAUUAACAGUUUUCAUCAGUUAUCUUUUCUUUGCCCCCUCUUCCUCAAGAUAUAAAGAUUGUAAAUAGAAGCAUUAAUUCUUUGAGGAAUAUUCACCUUUCAUUGCUGUUAUGAAUGUUGCACCAAAAUAGGAAAACAGCCUGGAAAAUUUUUUAUUGUGCUUACACUUAUAAAUUUCCAUGAAUAAGGUCUGCAUGGAGGGUCACUGGAGUUUCACUUCUGUGACCUGGAGGGGAGUUUGGACCCGAGCUUUGAACCUCAAGUGCAUGCAUUUAACUUAUUUGGUGCCUUGGAAUCAUCUCUGUUCCCUUUCUUUUCAUACUUGCAAUGUUCGUUUUGUUGCUAGUACAACAUAUUCAUGAUUGUUGCCCCCUUUCUCUUGUUGGCAACUCUACCGGAACUCCAAGAGAACUGACAUUUUCAUGCAAUCUGUAUCUUGAGCAUAAGUGUCAUUCCUUUUCAUUAGUCUCCUCUUCCUUUUAACUUAUGCUGUUUUUUGGUUAUCCUCUUGGCCUUCAAAAGUCACGUUCUGUUCGAGAUUUUGACAACUUCGCUAAAUGCCUUGUGGGAAAAUUUGAGGUACUAUCUGAAAAUUUAUCCAUACUUACUUCUUUGCUGUUAUUUUUAUGAGUUACAAAAAGUAUCAUAUUGUCUCUCAGACUGUAGAUACAUACUAUAGGCAUUGUAGCAGCUCUUCCUAUGUGCAAAAUGUUUCAGUACCAUUGCUCUGUAUCAGUGCUCUAGAUGAUCCUGUCUGUACCAGGGAAGCCAUUCCUUGGGAUGAAUGCAGGUGGAGCUCCUAUAAUUAUGCUACUGAAUACUUUCUUUGAGUUUAUAUGUUAUUUUGUGCAGUCUGGUAACUCUGUCUUUAACAGGGCAAAUAAAAAUAUCGUAUUGGCCACCCCACAACAUGGAGGACAUCUUGCAUUUUUUGAGGGAAUAACUGCAUCUAGCCUGUGGUAUUUCAUAGCUUCACAUUAGUGCAUCACCAGUAUAAUAUGUUUCUAACAUCUGUUGAUGCUAUAAGUCAGCCAUUCCAUUGAUAAAAGAAUUUCAGGAAAUUUGUAUAGUUCCAAGCAGUCCAACUGGCCAUUUUGUUUAUGCUUUAUUAUUUGAUUGUUGUUGUCAGCUACGGCACCUAAUUCACCAAAAAUGAGAGUGUGCAGAAUCCAUCGUGAUCCUGUGAGCGUCAAAUUUUAAUCUCACUACUUUCAAACUGAUCUUAUGGUUAGCUUGUGAUUGAUAGCCUAUAUGGUCACCUGCUUAAGUCAUUUCCUAUUUAUGUGAUAGUAGUUACCAAAAUAUUUGAAGUGUCAAAGAUGUUAUCAAUAUGUUUUAACACACAUACUUUCUUUUUCCUUUUAUUAUUCAGGUGGGUAAGGGCUACUAAUGAAUUUCUUAGUCUCCUACACUCUAGUCCACAUCUGCAUCUCCAGAAGGUUUGCUUCACGUUCAUUGCCUUUAAGUUUACCUAUCAAAUUAAUGGCACAUUGCUUGGAGGCGUGUGAAGUUCUUGUUGCAAACUCUUUCUGUCUGGAGCAAUAAAGUUUUUAAACAAAAUUUCAGAUCUAUCAAUUGUAAUCUUAUACUCUUUUUAAAUUUAAUGCAAUAUUUAAACCUAUAUCUGUUAGUUGAUACUUUUUGUUUUGAUGCAUUUGCAGACAGAGAAUUCUGACUUGCAGCUUUCAUUGGGAUCAUCAAUCGAUGAGGGUCCAUAUGUAAAUGUUACAGAAAAUGGAAUGGUGGCUGCAGUUGGUAAUGAGCAUAUAAGAAAUAACAUAGUUGAAGACUUAGCUGGAUUAAGGAAGAUUCAUAACCAAGAGUGUGAUAAAAUGAUUUCAGCAUCAGAACAGAACAAGCACCUGACUGAAACGAUGUCUGAUGUUGUGCCAAGUGCUGAUAAAAUGGUUUCAGCAUCAGAAGAGAAUGAGCAUCUAGCUGAAGCAAUGUCUGAUUUUGUGCCCGGUGCUGCUCAAGUUUCUGGACAAUCUUCAAACUUGCAGGGCGUCAAUUCUUUUGAUGUGAUUGCUCAUGUGAAAAGAUGUUUGAAUGAUCUUUCCCGUCAAAACAGAAAUUCAAUGUGGUUGCUGGCUUACAUUGCCAUUAUUACAAGUUGGCCAUUAGUAGGUUCAGCUUUCCGCAUUUUUUCCAGGAAGAAACUCAGAAACGUUUCACCUGCAGCUUUGCGUAGAAGGUAAACUACUGCUGCUAGUGUCGUAUUUUGUAUAUGUUUAAUGUGUCAUUAUUCAAUUCUAAAAAUGUGCAUGGCUGCCUGCUGAAAAUAUCUGUUUUCUGAUGGCAAUUGUGAACUAAAUACUGAACAACAUGAAAAACCUUGUUAAACUAGCUUUUUGCCUAGAAAUAACAUUAAGGCUAUUGAUGAGGCAAUCUCUAUUAUAUCAUAUAUUUUCUCUGUAAUUGAUGUCACAAAACCUGGGGAUAAACUUUCCACACCAUUGAUUGAUGGUUGAGUGGUUAAUGUUUUGAUUCCACAGUUGUUUUUCAUCCAUUGGACAUGAGCUACACAGGGGAAGGCAGCCCUCUCUUAUUCCAUAAACCCAGCCUCCCUUCCCCUAGAUUUGACACUGCAACCACUUUACUUGUCCUCAUAGUUGAAAUCACCCUUUUAAUGGUAUUUAAUAUACUAUGUAAAUUGCUUUGAAAUGACUAUAUAUAUCUAUCCUUUGUUCACCUACAUCAAACAAACAACAUAUAUAUAAUCACAGCAUGCAUAAAACUUUUGUUUAAUGAAAAAUCACCAACUAAAGUUAAUUAUGAUGAAGAGGAAAGUAUGAUGAUGACCCUUUUUUUUUUUUUUGGAUUUAUGUAUAGAGUCAAUUCUGUGAAUCAGCUUUAGCACAUUCCUUAUGCAAAUCACCAAUAAAGUUCCUUUGGUUACUCAUCCCACCUACUAGUUUUCUUGUCUUUUCUCUGCUGUGAGUGCAACAUACCCAACUGUAUGUCAAUGCUGUUUGCAUAAAACACAGAGAUUUCAACUCAAUAUCCACCUAAAGCAUAUCUAACUGAAAACUAAUUGAUAAUGAGUAAAAACAUUCAGUACUGUGGACACAAUCUUCUCCUAUAUUAAACCUUAAGCCUAAGCUAUGGGAGAUAUAAAUAUGUAACUCUUGUCAUGUAAAGGUAUCUGUUUAGAACUGAUUCAUAAUAGAUAAAAUAAUAUUGCAUAAUGUGAUCAACUUAUUAAGUUUGUCAACCUCUUCAACAGCAAAGGGUUAUAUUAAUGCUCUAUCAGUUUUCCUUUAUUGCAAUUGGAAAUCAAAAUAUAGGGAUUAAAGGUCUUCAAAACUGAAGUGUAGUGAUUACUGUUGGACGAUUUUUUUUACCUUUUAAAUUUUCAAAUGUGUACUUGGAUGUUCAUGAAGUUUUAUUUCUUUUUAUACUUAUAUACUUUAUUUAAGUAUAUAUUUAUUUAUUUAUUUAUUGAGAAGUACUUGAAUACUUUGUUGGUAAAUCAUAAUUUGACAUAUCAUAAAAAUUUUUAAAAAUAUUUAGUAAUAAAUGGUAAUUUCCAAGAGGUGGCUAAAUGUAGUUUAUUAACAGUAUAAAAAUUAUAAAUAUAUAUAAACGCCUUUUACAGCAUUAGAAAAUACCAAACUGUGCUUAGUCAUUGGGAAAGUAGGAGUCUUUUCAAAUAAAAGCAACAAUUUAUUAGAUUAAACUUCAUUUAACCCAUCAAGUUAAAAGGGCCUCAACCAUUGGCAUAAGUUUGCAUAGGUUGAAUGAUAGGCUAACUCCUAGCCACCUUCUUUUCCUUGUUUCACUUUUCUUUUUGGUAGGCACGAAGGAUAAAAAAAUUUCUAAUGUAAUGAUUAAGUUUCAUAACCACAUUUACUAUUUUGCCUCUCUCAAUCUUUGAUUUUUUUUUUUUUUUUGCAUUUUGUCCUUUACAUCCUCCCUACCAAACGGGGGCAUUAAACUAAGGAUGAUGAUAUAUAUUUUAAGCAUUGUCUUAAUGUUUCAUGAAUGAAUUCUAUAUCCAUAAUCAGUUCUCUCAAAUCAUAGAGAGAAAAUGUGAUAAUUGAUUCAUGAAUUUCUUCUGUUUUCUUUUCGUAAAGUAUUUCCUGUUGAUCAAGUUUUGAGUCUUUAUUCUCUAUUUACAUCUCUUUGGAAACCUGAAAAUUUAAAAUUAGACUUGAUAAUUUGUAUUCGGGUAUCUUAAUCGUAUCAUAUAAAUAUAGGAUAUUAACAGUUAUACGAAUAAACUCGGACACGACACUAAUUAUAUAUAUAUGUCAAGAUACGAAUAUGUAUACAUUAAUUAAACGUGUAAUACGACGCAAUACAUUUAAUAUAUUUAUGAAAUUUUAUAUGAUACGAUAUGAUUUAUAAUCAUUUCAAACGAUUAAGGUGAUUAAAUUAAAAUAUAUACAAUUACAAAUGAAAUAAAAUUUUAUUAUUCAAAUUUGAAAUUAAUAAUCAUAAAAACAAUUACAAUGAAACAUUAAUAUCCAUUUAGUAUAAUGAAAUCUACCACUGCCAUCAUCAACUAUAUUAAAAGAAACUAUAUAUAUGGGGAUUUAAUUAAACAAGUCAUAAACGUAUCAACUAGACACAUUUACGCAAUUAAUUAAAUGGAUAGUAAACAGGUCACAUCUUAGACGGAUAGUUAACAAAUCACAUGUUAUAUGGAUAGACGAUAACAUAAUUCAUGAUGAAAUGUGUCUUAGAUGAGUUUUAAACUGGCUAAGCAUAUUUGACACAUUUAAGACAUGAAAUUUUCAUAUAUCAAUCAUGUCAACACAAUUAACUUAUACCCAAGCAACUUACCCUGAUGUCUUCUUAUACAAAAUUAUCAAGUCUAACCGAAAUCCACCUUUCCAAUGCUUUUGUGUCUCAAGUUGCCGAUUAAGUCCGUGUAAUAGAGUCAAUAUCAAGCAUAUUCUGCUUUUUGCCAUUAUAUUGAACCAUAAGCAGCCCCUCGAUUUAGAGAUAAAUUCUACUUUUCAUUAUGCAUUAAUUGCUGUCAACCGGUUAUUAUUCAGUCUCUGAUCUUUUUCUUUUGACAAAAUCCAAGGUAAUGCUAAAUGGAAGAAAAUUUCAAACCGAAAAGGAUUUGUUGGGGGCCAUACCAUAACCCAUUACCCACUUGGGUUUUGCUAGACAACAAUGAUGAUGAUUUGCACACGAAAGAAUGACUCAUACCAUAUCUAACAAAGAUGUGAAUCUGCCGUUUGAUAGCUUAAGGACAAAUGUUUUUGGUAAGAAAAUGACCUUUUCCAUUGUAAGGAAUCAAAGCAAAGAAAGACAAACGUGGCUUCUUUUUUAUACCAGAUUCAGGUUGUAGAAUAUAAUAGAACUUUCCUCUCCUAUCUUUAAGUGCAAUAAAUUGUCUCUGAGAAGAAUUAUUAUCCUUAUUCUCAUCUGAAGAAUAUUCAAACUAUAGGCAGUAAGCCAAAGACAAAACAAAAGCCAAGUCGGUAUCACUUUGUAAUCUCAGCCAUUAUCCAUAGGCCUAUAUAGUCCUUUACAUUGCUGUAGCAAUCUCUUUGUUCUUUUUUUCUAUUGAAGCAUUGACUUUUAGGGGUUUGAUGAUAAUCUGUUGGUAAUCGCUUUACUUGUUAGCAUCAGAAACCUUCUUGUAAACCUUGGCGAGUAGUUUGAAGUAGGUUAUGUUAAAUUGUGCCAUCAAACUCUAAAACAAAGAUUUCUUAGACUGAUAAUGUUAAAUUAUGUCACACUGUUUGAUAUGAUUUUGAUAAGGGUUUUGUAGUAACUCAGUAGCUUUCUUCUCCCAGUCUUCUGCCAUAUAUUAGUUUUAACUCACUUCAUGUUGUAUAUAAAUUGGUAAAAUUAUAGUUUCUUGAGUGUUACGUUGAAAGAAUGGUUUGAAUACUAAUUAUCCACUUUAAGUUACUAAUACGAAGCAUGAUAUAUGAAAAAUGUGAAAAGAAGUAUCGGAAAUUGGAGGAAUUAGUCCUCCAUAAAAAUUAUUAAUAAUAACAAUAAAAAGAGAAAAGAAAUCAAAAUGACACUGCAAAAUUUCAAACGCAGGCAACAUCUAGGAAGGCAGUCGGUUGAACCCAAGAAUAUAUAUAUAUGAGGGCAGACUUAGUCGUCGUGGGCAUUAAUUAAAACUAAAGCUGAAAUGUUUAUCAUCACUUGUUUGAAUUGAACCCCAUGGCAUUGUUUCUACAAUGCUUAUGAUUCUUGUUUGACUUGGUAUUUAUACGGAAGCAAAUUAAAAUUGCCCAUGUAAAAUCUGCUAAGUUAUGCACCAUAAGUCUACUUGUGAAAUGCCACAAUCACAUGUGAACAGAGAACAUACCCUGUAGGUUGAAAAGAUCCAAAGAUUAUUGAUAAGAUUGGAUGAGAUUGAAUAAAGGUCCGAUUAUGAAUACUAGCUAGCUAGUAAUAGCUUUAUUUUGUCAAGGAAAUAAUGAGUUGUCUUAUAUGUUAGUCAAGAUCCUUGUUCUUAUUUUCUUCUCUCCAGAAAAAAAGCUGGCCAUGGCUUUGGAAUCCCCUUUUAUGUGGUGAUGGAAACACCAGUUUUAUUCUCAGAUGUAAACUCAUGACAAAGUGUUGGGCCACCUUUGGCAUGUAAACUCAGAAAUCCGAAGUGAUAUUUUCCAUGAGUACAGGUACAGCUAGCUGCUAUGUGACAGAAUCUGUCUCUGGGAAGGUAUUUUCACAGCACAUUAACAAGUCCUGCAUGAGCUGAUUUUGAGUAUUGUGGGGGUGAAAAGUCAAGGAGAAAUGGCCUGCCAUCUGAUGCAGUUAUCAUCGCCACUGGUUUAACGGAUCGUGUUUAAUUAUAUAUAUUCUUCAUUUCUUUUCUUCUUCCUUGUCUUCCUUUUAAGCGUUGGCUAUCUGGGAAGUUGCCAUAUGUCGACCUCACAGUGUAAGGGACAGCAUCAAAAUUGCAGCAGUCUGAUAUAAUAUAUAGAAAGCCUUUUCAUUGCUUCAUCGGGCCAAAUUUGAAGAUAUAUUAAUUGUUAAUUCAACAGUCUAGCUUCAUGUUCUCCAUGAACAAAGACAAUGACCCCAAAAAUAAAGGUCCAAUCCAGUUUCCACGCUCCAUGUUUCAUGUGAUUUUGUUCUUAGGACACAUUCAAACGGUUCUCCCAAUGUAUCAAUUUACUCCCUUAUUCCUUCGGCAACUCUUAAUAUCCCAAUAUUUUAUUUCUCAACUUUUUUGUAUUCUGCAAUAAAUCCAGGAACAAGAUGCCGUGGAAUUAUUAUUAACUUUUUGUAUAAUACAUUGAAACAAGUGGAGAUCAGAGUAUACUAAUUAAUUAGGAAUAUGCUAAUAAUUUUAAUCAUUCAUAUCCAUGCAUUUACUAUUCGCAAUCCCACGUGAAAUCUCAUUGAUCCUUCACUUAUCUCGGUUUGUUUUGUGAAAUUAUGUUUUUCUUUUUUCUUGUUGAUAGGGCAAUCAAGAAUUAUAACUUAAAUUAUAACUUUUUAGUAUUCUGCAAUAACUCCAGCAUCAAAUUUUUAUAUUUGAGAAAAUCAAAAUGUUUUCUUGACCUAAGACACACUGAUUCUUGAGAAUAAAAAGAUACCCUUCUUUAUAUAUCUCCCCAUCCGAUUGUACCAAAAAUAAUAUCUCCAAUCUCUCUCUUUAUAUUACUCUUUUGUUCCUUUCUCAUGUAAUGACACAAGGGAAUUUUUAUGAGUUAUUCCCAUCGCCAUUCUCCCCAUAAAAGCCUAGCCUCGCUCAUGUCUCUCCUUGUCCUAAAAUCUUGUACUUCUCCUCAGUCUAUUUGAUCUUUGUUUCUCUCCCCUGAACCGAUCAUGGAAGACACAGAUGAGGAUGAGCUUUUGAACCUCAGCCUGUCGAUUGUUACCGAUCCUGGUGGGGAAAGGAACAGAAAGAGGAAGACAAAGGAUAUUUCCAAGCCUUUUAACCCAUCAUAUGAAGGUUGUGAAGGGAAGAUAUUUAGGCUUCUUCAAGUGAGGGAAGAGAUGCUAAAGGUAGACCAUAAGAGGAAAAAAAUGGUUGAAGAUGGGAAAGGCCUCCAUUUGAUCCACUUGCUGCUCAUAACUGCUACUUCAGUCGAUGAGAAUAAUGUGAACUCAGCCUUGGAGAAUCUCACCGAACUGUAUCAAAGUGUGUCCUUAAUAGGAGACUCCGUGCAACGAGUCGUCGCUUAUUUUGCCGAUGGCUUGGCCGCAAGGCUUCUCACCCAAAAAUCUCCUUUCUACGACAUGGUCAUGAAGGAACCUACUAAUGAAGAACAGUUUUUGGCUUUCACUUGUCUUUAUAGGGUGUCGCCUUAUUACCAGUUUGCUCAUUUCACUGCUAACCAAGCUAUAAUCGAAGCCUUUGAGAAAGAGGAUGAGAUCAAUAAUCGAGCCUUGCAUGUUAUUGACUUUGAUGUCUGUUAUGGGUUUCAAUGGCCUUCCCUCAUACAAUCUCUCUCCGAAAAGGCAUCAAGUGGCAAUCGAGUAUCCCUCCGUCUUACUGGGUAUGGAAGAAGCUCAGAAGAAUUGCAAGAAACUGAGACUAGAUUAGUGAGCUUCGCCGGAGGGUGUCGGAAUCUGGUCUUCGAAUUUCAAGGGUUGUUGAGAGGCUCUAAGCUGGUUAACCUAAGGAAAAAGAAAAAUGAAACAGUUGUUGUGAAUCUAGUUUUUCAUUUGAAUACUUUGAAUAACUUUCUGAAAAUAUCUGACACACUGAAAUCUGUACAUUCACUUAGGCCUUCCAUUGUUAUCUUAGUGGAACAAGAAGGUAGCCGAAGCCCAAGAAGCUUCUUAUCGAGAUUUAUGGAAUCUUUACAUUAUUUUGCAGCCAUGUUUGAUUCAUUGGAUGAUUGCCUGCCACUAGAGAGUGCUGAGAGGUUAAGCAUUGAGAAAAACCAUCUUGGGAAAGAGAUCAAAAGCAUAAUUAACUGUGACAAGGAUGAGGACAACAAGUUUCCAAGGUAUGCAAAGAUGGAAACAUGGAAAGGAAGAAUGGAGAGUCAUGGAUUUGAAGGGAUGAAAAUGAGUUCCAAGUCCUUGAUACAGGCAAAACUUCUACUGAAAAUUAGGACCCAUUAUUGCCCUCUUCAAUGUGAAGGAGAGAGUGGUGGGUUUAGAGUUUUCGAAAGAGAUGAUGGAAAGUCUCUUUCUUUAGGGUGGCAAGAUAGGUGCUUGCUCACGGCCUCUGCAUGGCAAUGUGUAUGAUAGCUAUUACUCUUUUCUAACACAUUCAUAUCAUUCUUGUAACUUUGUUCAAAUAAUGGACUUUGACCCUACCCUUGAGUAAGGGUUUAUUACUCAUCAAAUUGUUAUUUCUUUCUCUUCUUAUUUCUUAGGCUUAACACAACUCUUUCAUGAACUUAAGUUGAUUCAUUUCUGACAUUUCUAGAUAUAUUGCCCCUCUGUUUCUUUACUUUGAAGUAGCUAAUAAUGACUUGUAAAGUCCUUAAAUGGAUAUUCCCCCCCUUUAACAUUGUAUCUAAACCUUGUGCUAUAAUCUGAAUCAAGUUUUUUCAUGAUAUUCAUCUCCCUGUUUCCUGCAGAUUAACUUUGUAAAACAUGACACCUAUGCAAGUAUCGUUUCUUUCACAGUAAUGCAAUUGUAAUGCAAUUAUUGAUAAGUUUUUAGUGAACUUAAUAAUUGAGUUGGCUUGCAAAAAGAUCUACUGCAUACAUUACACGAACAUUUCAAUACUAUAAAACAGACAAAAUUUAAGAUUCGAUGUUUGUUGAAAAUCAUAACUUGAAUUUAUCAACUUUAAAAACAAGCAAACAUCGUCACCUGGGUUUUUUAUUGAACUUACUAUUCAUGAACUUCUAAUCAAGUUUAUUUAUCUUCUAGGAACUUAUUAUUUGAAUUUGUGCAUAUAAUAAAUUAUAAUUCACUUACAUUCGAUUAGACUUGUUUAUUGAUUGAGUUCCACAAUUUUGUUCAAACGUAUUCAUCUCACUUAGCUUAAUAAAUGAUUAUAGAUAAACUUAAACAUACAUUUUUACGAGCCAUUGAAUGAGUAUAGUAAUUUGCUCUAUCUUGGUCGAAUGCGCCUGGUUUUUCAUUCCAUUUCAUUUUGCCUAUGCGUUGAAGUUUACCCAAGUACCCUUAGCCGAUAAGAAGAAGGAAAGCAAAAAGAAAAUGCAAGAGAAAGGGAAAAGAACAGCUGAUUCAAAAAUCUUCAUAGGAAAAGGUACAAAUUCCACUUCUCGACUUCGAAACAAAUUACAUGUUAAUAGGUUCAAGAAAAUUGGGAAUGCAACGAUUUUUUGUGGGAAGUUCUUUGAUUGGCUUAGUUUUGAUGAAGUACUGGUAGUAAAAAAAGGAUUUAGAAGGAUAUUUUGAAUCUUUGAAAUUGAGGAAUUUGAGUAUCUUAGGGGAUAGGAUGUUUAGCCCCUCAUUAGUAAAGGAAUUUUAUUCUAGCAUUAUUGUGGACAAAACUAACUAAUUAAUUGAGAAGAAUUUACCAAAUAUGGUUUGAAUGUCUUCCUAAGUGGUAGAGAAUUUCAUAUUAGUGCUCAAGACUUAAAAGAGUUUCUAAAAACAUAGUUUGAAGUAGGGGAAUUCAAAAUGUCCAAAAAAUAUUAUCCCAAUCAUCUUUGGGAGAUUAUGACUAGAAAAAAGAAAAGUUUCCCUCCAGAAGCUAUGCCAGUGAGAUUAAGAAUGCUCAACUUAUGAUCCUACAUUAUUUCAUUGCUACCACACUUCAUGGAAGAAGCAGUAGUUUUAGUUAUGUAAGUACUCAAGACAUUUAGCUCAUGGAAUCUGCUUUCAAUGAAAUUUCAUUAAAUGUAGCCAAGUUUACGAUUGAAAGAAUCCGAGGGACAUACCUAGGGGACAAAGCUAACUUCCCAUAUGACAAUAUCAUCACAUCACUUGCCAAGAAAAAAAAGGAUCUGGAGUAUCAGAUUUCAGGUUGAUUUAAUAAGAAACAAAGAUCAAGGAAUCUUUUUAGGAAAUGUAUUGAAGAUGGGAUAUAAGUUAGAGAGAAAACAAUGCAUUAAAUCAAUUAAAGGCACCCCAAUCCCACUUGGAACUGAAACUCCCUUUACACCUCAAGCCAGAGUCAAUCAAGCCCUUUAUCAAGGUGAAAUGAUAUUCAACCUUCUUAUGAGGAUUGAUGGAAAGCUGACUGAACAAGUUGAAGAUAGUUAAAAUUAAGGAAAAAUUAUAACAUCUUGAAGAUCUCAUGCUUCAAAAAAAAAAAAACCAAACGCCCUACCUCUAAAGCUCAACCACAAUUGCAAGUGUGUCAAGUGAGAGGACUACCACAAAGCAAUUUGACUUACAAGCAUCUGACCAUGAAGAUGAAGUUGUGAAAGGAGAAGCUGACAAUGAAAACAAAGAACAAAAUGUUGAAAUAAGUCUUGAAGCAGAGUAAGCUAAAGGAAUUGAAAAAGAAAAGGAGGAUGAAGAAAUGGAAAAGGAAACUGAUUAAGAAAAAAUAGUGGAAAAGGAUACAAACUUGAAUAAAGAAAAUUCAGCAACUGCAAAGGCAUAUGAGAAUCCCCUUAAAGAAUCUGAAGGCAUUUUGCUUUCAUAUUUUAUCAUUGAAAUUCUCAAGGAAGUUGAAGCUAACUAGGCCAAACAAAAGGAGAAAAUGGAACAAGAAGCUCAGUUAGCACAACAACACCAAGAGAAAAUUGCAUACCACACAGCGUAUGAUAAGGGAAAAACAGUAGUCACUAGGUCUGUAGUUAAGAAAAUUACUAGUAAAAGAAGAGAAACAAUGACCACAAAGACCAAGGUAUUUAGAUGAAGGAAAUCUGCUAGGAUAGUUGAAUCCACUACCAAACCAACCUUCAAACCAACAUCCCCUGAACUUAUAUCCUCUAGAUCCUCAUUUGAACUUGAAUCUCUUUAUUCCCUCCAUGUUGCUCCUUUACAUGUUCACCUAGGAAUUGAUGAAUCAUCAGUGAAUAAGGCUUCUUAGAGUCUGAUUAGUUUAACUCUAAACUUAGGCCCCUCUUUUAAUUGAUGACAAAAAGGGGGAGAAAAUAGAAGGAUAGGAUGAACAAUGUUUAUAUCUAUAUGUUUGUGUUUUGAAUUGUGCUUUAAUGCUAAAUUGCUAAUUAUAUAUAGGCUCAAUGUUGGAUGAUUAUAUAUAUAUAUAUAUAUAUAUAUAUAUAUAUACUAUCAUGAUAAAUGCUUAUAUCUGUACAUUGAUAUACUUUAGGGGGAGCAAUCCCUAAAUCUACACAUAAAAGUUUAUUGUUUUGAAGACAUUGCAUUCUUAAUUUAGGAGUAUUUUGUCAUCAUAGAAAAGGGAGAGAAUGUUGACACCGUAUGUUCUUGAUGAUAACAAAGUAUUCCUUAUUCAUUACUGUCUAACUUCACUAUUUAAGUGUGNNNNNNNNNNNNNNNNNNNNNNNNNNNNNNNNNNNNNNNNNNNNNNNNNNNNNNNNNNNNNNNNNNNNNNNNNNNNNNNNNNNNNNNNNNNNNNNNNNNNNNNNNNNNNNNNNNNNNNNNNNNNNNNNNNNNNNNNNNNNNNNNNNNNNNNNNNNNNNNNNNNNNNNNNNNNNNNNNNNNNNNNNNNNNNNNNNNNNNNNNNNNNNNNNNNNNNNNNNNNNNNNNNNNNNNNNNNNNNNNNNNNNNNNNNNNNNNNNNNNNNNNNNNNNNNNNNNNNNNNNNNNNNNNNNNNNNNNNNNNNNNNNNNNNNNNNNNNNNNNNNNNNNNNNNNNNNNNNNNNNNNNNNNNNNNNNNNNNNNNNNNNNNNNNNNNNNNNNNNNNNNNNNNNNNNNNNNNNNNNNNNNNNNNNNNNNNNNNNNNNNNNNNNNNNNNNNNNNNNNNNNNNNNNNNNNNNNNNNNNNNNNNNNNNNNNNNNNNNNNNNNNNNNNNNNNNNNNNNNNNNNNNNNNNNNNNNNNNNNNNNNNNNNNNNNNNNNNNNNNNNNNNNNNNNNNNNNNNNNNNNNNNNNNNNNNNNNNNNNNNNNNNNNNNNNNNNNNNNNNNNNNNNNNNNNNNNNNNNNNNNNNNNNNNNNNNNNNNNNNNNNNNNNNNNNNNNNNNNNNNNNNNNNNNNNNNNNNNNNNNNNNNNNNNNNNNNNNNNNNNNNNNNNNNNNNNNNNNNNNNNNNNNNNNNNNNNNNNNNNNNNNNNNNNNNNNNNNNNNNNNNNNNNNNNNNNNNNNNNNNNNNNNNNNNNNNNNNNNNNNNNNNNNNNNNNNNNNNNNNNNNNNNNNNNNNNNNNNNNNNNNNNNNNNNNNNNNNNNNNNNNNNNNNNNNNNNNNNNNNNNNNNNNNNNNNNNNNNNNNNNNNNNNNNNNNNNNNNNNNNNNNNNNNNNNNNNNNNNNNNNNNNNNNNNNNNNNNNNNNNNNNNNNNNNNNNNNNNNNNNNNNNNNNNNNNNNNNNNNNNNNNNNNNNNNNNNNNNNNNNNNNNNNNNNNNNNNNNNNNNNNNNNNNNNNNNNNNNNNNNNNNNNNNNNNNNNNNNNNNNNNNNNNNNNNNNNNNNNNNNNNNNNNNNNNNNNNNNNNNNNNNNNNNNNNNNNNNNNNNNNNNNNNNNNNNNNNNNNNNNNNNNNNNNNNNNNNNNNNNNNNNNNNNNNNNNNNNNNNNNNNNNNNNNNNNNNNNNNNNNNNNNNNNNNNNNNNNNNNNNNNNNNNNNNNNNNNNNNNNNNNNNNNNNNNNNNNNNNNNNNNNNNNNNNNNNNNNNNNNNNNNNNNNNNNNNNNNNNNNNNNNNNNNNNNNNNNNNNNNNNNNNNNNNNNNNNNNNNNNNNNNNNNNNNNNNNNNNNNNNNNNNNNNNNNNNNNNNNNNNNNNNNNNNNNNNNNNNNNNNNNNNNNNNNNNNNNNNNNNNNNNNNNNNNNNNNNNNNNNNNNNNNNNNNNNNNNNNNNNNNNNNNNNNNNNNNNNNNNNNNNNNNNNNNNNNNNNNNNNNNNNNNNNNNNNNNNNNNNNNNNNNNNNNNNNNNNNNNNNNNNNNNNNNNNNNNNNNNNNNNNNNNNNNNNNNNNNNNNNNNNNNNNNNNNNNNNNNNNNNNNNNNNNNNNNNNNNNNNNNNNNNNNNNNNNNNNNNNNNNNNNNNNNNNNNNNNNNNNNNNNNNNNNNNNNNNNNNNNNNNNNNNNNNNNNNNNNNNNNNNNNNNNNNNNNNNNNNNNNNNNNNNNNNNNNNNNNNNNNNNNNNNNNNNNNNNNNNNNNNNNNNNNNNNNNNNNNNNNNNNNNNNNNNNNNNNNNNNNNNNNNNNNNNNNNNNNNNNNNNNNNNNNNNNNNNNNNNNNNNNNNNNNNNNNNNNNNNNNNNNNNNNNNNNNNNNNNNNNNNNNNNNNNNNNNNNNNNNNNNNNNNNNNNNNNNNNNNNNNNNNNNNNNNNNNNNNNNNNNNNNNNNNNNNNNNNNNNNNNNNNNNNNNNNNNNNNNNNNNNNNNNNNNNNNNNNNNNNNNNNNNNNNNNNNNNNNNNNNNNNNNNNNNNNNNNNNNNNNNNNNNNNNNNNNNNNNNNNNNNNNNNNNNNNNNNNNNNNNNNNNNNNNNNNNNNNNNNNNNNNNNNNNNNNNNNNNNNNNNNNNNNNNNNNNNNNNNNNNNNNNNNNNNNNNNNNNNNNNNNNNNNNNNNNNNNNNNNNNNNNNNNNNNNNNNNNNNNNNNNNNNNNNNNNNNNNNNNNNNNNNNNNNNNNNNNNNNNNNNNNNNNNAAAAAAAAAAAAAACCAAACGCCCUACCUCUAAAGCUCAACCACAAUUGCAAGUGUGUCAAGUGAGAGGACUACCACAAAGCAAUUUGACUUACAAGCAUCUGACCAUGAAGAUGAAGUUGUGAAAGGAGAAGCUGACAAUGAAAACAAAGAACAAAAUGUUGAAAUAAGUCUUGAAGCAGAGUAAGCUAAAGGAAUUGAAAAAGAAAAGGAGGAUGAAGAAAUGGAAAAGGAAACUGAUUAAGAAAAAAUAGUGGAAAAGGAUACAAACUUGAAUAAAGAAAAUUCAGCAACUGCAAAGGCAUAUGAGAAUCCCCUUAAAGAAUCUGAAGGCAUUUUGCUUUCAUAUUUUAUCAUUGAAAUUCUCAAGGAAGUUGAAGCUAACUAGGCCAAACAAAAGGAGAAAAUGGAACAAGAAGCUCAGUUAGCACAACAACACCAAGAGAAAAUUGCAUACCACACAGCGUAUGAUAAGGGAAAAACAGUAGUCACUAGGUCUGUAGUUAAGAAAAUUACUAGUAAAAGAAGAGAAACAAUGACCACAAAGACCAAGGUAUUUAGAUGAAGGAAAUCUGCUAGGAUAGUUGAAUCCACUACCAAACCAACCUUCAAACCAACAUCCCCUGAACUUAUAUCCUCUAGAUCCUCAUUUGAACUUGAAUCUCUUUAUUCCCUCCAUGUUGCUCCUUUACAUGUUCACCUAGGAAUUGAUGAAUCAUCAGUGAAUAAGGCUUCUUAGAGUCUGAUUAGUUUAACUCUAAACUUAGGCCCCUCUUUUAAUUGAUGACAAAAAGGGGGAGAAAAUAGAAGGAUAGGAUGAACAAUGUUUAUAUCUAUAUGUUUGUGUUUUGAAUUGUGCUUUAAUGCUAAAUUGCUAAUUAUAUAUAGGCUCAAUGUUGGAUGUAUAUAUAUAUAUAUAUAUAUAUAUAUAUAUAUAUAUAUUCUCAUGAUAAAUGCUUAUAUCUGUACAUUGAUAUACUUUAGGGGGAGCAAUCCCUAAAUCUACACAUAAAAGUUUAUUGUUUUGAAGACAUUGCAUUCUUAAUUUAGGAGUAUUUUGUCAUCAUAGAAAAGGGAGAGAAUGUUGACACCGUAUGUUCUUGAUGAUAACAAAGUAUUCCUUAUUCAUUACUGUCUAACUUCACUAUUUAAGUGUGCAAGAUAUGGUUUAUUUCUCCUAACAAAUUUGUUAAUCAAGGGUAAGUCAAAAUGCUUGCUAAAUUUGAAAAUGAGUUAAUCAGUCAGUUAAAGAAAGAAGGAAAAAAGUGAUUAGUAAAGAUAAAACAUUGUUAGCUGAUUAACACGGAACUUUAACCAGUUAAGGCAUAACUGGGUGCUAGGUUAAAGCAAGAUAGAUCAGCCUUAAUCGGUUAGCACUAGACUUAAUUGAUUAAAAAGGUGUUGGACAAAGCAAAAUAAAGGUAUGCUAAUAUGCUAGAGCACAAGACUUGAAGAAUUUCCAAAGCGUCGAAAUUUAACUUUAAAGUGAAGGUUGACCGUUGAAAGGAGCUAAACUUUAGAAAUUCAAAUUCAAAGAUUUCUAACUGAUUAGCGCUUGUGUUAAUUGGUUAAGGGUGAAGGAAGUGAAGCUUCAAUCAAUUAAGAUGAGAGUUAACCAAUUAGAAGAUGUCUGAAGACAAAGAUCUCUUAAUCGGUUAAAGCCUCAUGUAAUUGGUUAACACAAGACACACAACAACAAGAAAAUGCAAGGUAGAAAAGCUACAAUCGAUUAGAGUUGUCUGUAACUAGUUAGUUGAACUCUGUCUGCCUUUUUAAAUUUAAAUACUAGAAGACAAAAUAACGACUAGAAUGACUUCAGAAUUGUUCCUAACGGUUAAAAUCUGUCUUGAAAAAUAAAAUAUGUCUCUCCAAGUAUAAAUUGAAGCUCCAACGGUCAAAGAAGGUAGAUUGAAGCAUUUAAGAAUCAUUUUGAGCAAAAAAAAGCCAAAAUACCUUUACUAAAAACACUUGUUCUUCAUUCCUAUCAUUGAAAAAGUGUUUGGCCUUGAUUAUAAUCUUUCUAGAUCUAUAAAAGUAAUCAGUUAUACUUCUUUUUCUUCUUUUUUUUUUAAGAAAUUGAGUGUAAGAAGCACUUUAAAGACUAUUGUAAGGGAUUAGUGUUUGGGUUGGAAGCUUGCUUUGUGAAAACUUGGUGAAAUCUAUUAAUUCCAUUAGUAUAGUGAAGUUGGGUUGAAAAUCCUUGAUUGGGAUAUCAAGGUAGUAAAUGUAGGUCAAGGGGACCUAACUAGUAUAAAUACUUAUGCAUUGUCCACUUCUCACUAUCGUAACGUGCGGGUUUGAGAACCCGACCGCUAGACGCGAGUGAAAACUCUAAAAAACUAAGAGUCGCCACCAAUCUUUUUUACUAGGUGCGAUUGGCCACCUAUUGAUUCGAUUCUAAUUGAUGAAGCCUUAAAUUAAUUUUAAGCCCACCGAAAAGAACCCUAAGCUGGUCUACAUUUUUCUAGAUCUAAGUUCGGGAGUACGGUGAUGCCCAGGGAAAGAUUAGCACCCCCGGGACGCCCGUUCCAUGAACGGUACCAUUUUUAGAUUAUCUUAUUAGGCUUUAAUUUUUAAUUUCACUAUAUUUUCUUAGUUAUUAUUCUCUUAUUUUAUCUCCUAUUUAACCUAAAAUGGAAUACAAAUGUGAGGCAAGAUGAAAUGCAUGGCGUGGGAUAAAAAUAUGUCGGACGAAUAACCUUUCACUGAGGACGUUCUCCUGAAUUCGUCCAUCAUACUGGUGGGAUCCGGGGUGUUCUCUCACCUAGGGAAUUAUUCGAGAAAUUUACCUUCGCAUAUUCGACGAAUAAAUCCAGUCAUCGGGGUCAUCGUACUUUUUCUUUUAAAAUAAUAUUUUUGUGCAUAAUGAACCUAAUACGGGCAAAAGCUUUUUAUUAAAAAUGUUUCUCGAGCCCUCCCAUCAUACUGGUGGGACCCGAGGAUACCUUUUCACCUAUGAAACUUUUCAAGGAAUACUCACUUUUGCAAGAUCCUCGGAAUAUCCCAUCAUCGGGGCUUAAACUCGAAAAUAAAAAUAUUUAUAUGCAAUGAUGCAACAUAUAUAUAUGCUAUGCUAAUGCAAUUAUCUACUUUUUUUUGUCAUUUUUUUAUUAUUUAAUUAUUAUUUUCUUUUUAUUUUAUUUUAUUUAUCAUAUUUUCUAUUUCAUUUCUAAUUUUUAUUUUUUCAUACUUUUACAUUUUUUUAUUCUAAGUUACUUUUAUAUUUUCCUUUUAUAAUUAGAUAAAUUGUUUGUCAUUCCAUUUUAUUUUAGUGAACAAAAAUUUUAUUAUUAUUUUUAUUAUACUAUUUCUUUUUUUAUAUUUUUAUAUUUUUNUUUUUUUUUUGAAAUGGUGAAAAAUAAUCAAUUCCUCAUCUGAGGUUCUACGACUUUAAAGAUAAAUUGCCCUCUUUUUCAGUUGUUUUAAAACUUUGAACGCGACAAUUUAAAUAUCCUAAUCAUCUUCAUCAGGUUUUUUUUUUUAAGUGUUUUAGAGCCUUCUCUUUGAUCAAUGGGGGAUGAACCGAUCACGCUUCCGAUCUCUCGUCUUCCCCAAUUCUUCCUCUAUCAUAUGCAUGGUCCAAUCAUUCUUCACAUUUUUACUAUUCUUCAGUCUGUUGUUAUUUCCAUUUCUUUCUCUUUUUUCUUUGUCUUUUCUCUUUCUUUUUUAUAUUACCAGACUCUAUUUCAUUCCCCGUCAAUUAUGAUCCUUUUUCAAAAUAUUGCAAACAUUUCUUACUUUAUCAUGCUCUUUAUUAAAUAUCAUUCCAAUUUUAUGACAAAUGCAAUGCAAUGUACUUAUAUCUCCUCUCUUGGCAGAAUGGAAAUGAUGACAAUGUUGGGAGCAGAAAGGCUAUUUUUCAUUAGAAAAAAUGGAAGUUUCUACAAUCAGGCAUAAUGACAAGGAACAGGGGAAAACCAAUUAAUACAAAAGAGAUACAGUUCUUUCUUAAUGAUUGUUUCGAUAGAUAUUGACAGUAGCCUCGACAUUUUAUCUCAAAGCAGGCACAAGCGUCAACUCCCUUGUCUUUUGUCUGAACAUCUCGGAUCAUGAUUUUUCACCCUUUUUGUGUUAAGCCCUUGUAGUAUUUGGACCUCUUUCGUGUUUAGACCGCCCUUUCGGGUUUUCGCCCUAAACACAUCUCUCAUACUCAAGUCGCCUUUUUAGGUUUUUAACUUGAAAAUUUUUCUCUUUUCUUUUUUUUUUUUUACGCAAAAUAUUUCUUGACAGCAUCGGCAUUCACUAGGUUGGAAAACUCCCUUCCAUCCAUCUCUGCCAAAAUUAGUGCUCAUCCUGAAAAAGCUUUCUUCACCACAAAUGGUCUUUCCCAAUUCGACGUCCAUUUCCCGCGAGGAUCUUGCUGGUUAGGAAGAAUUCUUUUCAAUACUAACUCUCCCUCUUGGAACUGACGUGGAUGUACCUUCUUGCCAUAUGCCCUCAUUAUUCUCUUUUGAUAUAACUGCCCAUGGCAAAGUGCUGUCAACCUUUUUUCUUCUAUGAGAUUCAAUUGCUCAUAACGAGCAUUAACCCAUUCGACUUCUUCCAACUGUACUUCUUUAAGGUCCCUUAGGGAAGAGAUUUCUACCUCAAUUGGUAAAACUGCUUCCAUCCCAUAUACCAAAGAGAACGGCGUAGCUCUCGUGGAAGUUUGGACUAUUAUGCGAUAAGCAUGCAAAGCGAAGGGUAACUUCUCAUGCCAAUCUUUGUAUAUAUCUGUCAUCUUUUCAAUUAUCCUUUUGAUGUUCUUGUUGGCUGCUUCCACCGCUCCAUUCAUCUUUGGGCGAUAAGGCACUGAAUUGUGAUGCUUGAUCUUGAACUUAGCACAAACCUCUUUCAUCAUUGAACCAUUGAGAUUACUAGCGUUAUCUGUGAUGAUCCUUUCUAGGAGACCAUAGCGGCAUAUUAUUUCUUUUUGGAUGAACUUAUAUACCACUUUCUGGGUCACAUUAGCAUAGGAUGCUGCUUCUACCCAUUUAGUGAAGUAGUCAAUUGCCACUAGAAUAAACCGAUGCCCAUUUGAUGCCUUCGGAGUUAUUAACCCAAUCACAUCCAUGCCUCACAUUGAGAAUGGCCAUGGUGAUGUCAAUACAUUCAGUGAAUUUGCAAGAGUGUGGAUUCUGUCUGCGUAUAUCUGACACUUGUGACACUUUCGAGCGAAAUUUAUACAAUUCGUUUCCAACGUGAGCCAAUAAUACUCUGCUCUCAUGACUUGUCUUGCCAACAUAUACCCACUUACAUGUGCCUCACAAAUUCCUUCGUGGAUUUCUUCAACUAUUCUCCGAGCUUCGGCUGAAUCCACACAUCUCAAAAGUACUUGAUCCCUACUUCUCUUGUAUAAGAUGUCCCCAUCCAAUAAGAAAUUCAUUGCCAACCUUUUAAUGGUUUUCUUAUGAUUUUCUGAGCUUUGUUCUAGAUACUGCUGAAACUUGAGAUAAUGCACAAUAUCAUGGUACCACGGUUUCCCGUCUACUUCUUCCUCUACACUAGAGCAGUGUGCAGGGCACUCUCAAAGAUUAAUCAUGAUGGGUUAAAUCUUGACAUCGGUACCAACUUUGAACAUUGCUGCCAGCGUGGCUAAUGCAUCAGCCAUUUGGUUCUCCUCUCGGGGCAAAUGGAUGAAGCAAAUUUUAUCAAAAUUUUCAAUCAGCUUUGAAAUAAACUUAUGAUAUCGGACUAACUUCGAGUCGUGUGUUUUCCAUUCUCCUCGUAACUGAUAAAUAACUAAAGCAAAAUCCCCAAAUACUUUCAAAAUGCGAAUUUUCCUCUCAAUUGCUGCCUGAAGUCCCAUGACACAAGCUUCAUAUUUAGCCACAUUAUUAGUGCAAUAAAAAUUGAGCUUGGCUAUGAUGGGAUAAUGACCUCCUUCUAGUGAUACCAACACAACCCCUAUGCCAUGCCCCAAGGCAUUCAAAGCUCCAUCGAAAAACAUCUUUCAAUUCUCUUUCUCCUAUGAUUCCUCCUUAUUUGUUUGACAAACCGACAUCAAAUCCUCAUCUGAAAACUCAAACUCCAUUAGUUCAUAGUCCUCCUCCACCCUUUCCGUCAGAAAAUUUGUGAUUGCACUUCCUUUGAUAGCUUUUUGGGACACAUAUAUAAUAUCAUAUUCAUACAACAACACUUGUCAUCUUGCCACUCUACCUGAUAAGGUUGGUUUCUCGAAGAUGUAUUUAAUAGGAUUUAACUUCGCAAUGAGCCAAGUGGUAUGAUAUAGCAUGUACUGCCUGAGUCGAUGCACCGUCCAUGCUAAAACACAACACAUCUUUUCCAACGAGGAAUACUUGGACUCGUACUCAGUGAACUUUUUACUCAAGUAGUAAACUGCUUUUUCUUUCUUACCAGUUUCAUCAUGCUGUCCCAACACACAUCCUAUGGAUUCUUCAUUUACUGUUAGGUACAAGAGGAGGGGUCUCCCAACCACAAGUGGUACCAACACUGACGGACUCAACGGAUAUUCUUUAAUCUUGUCAAAAGCAACUUAGCACUCCUCGUUCCAUGUCCCAGGAUUAUGUUUGCGAAAAAGCUUGAAGAUCGGGUCACAUUUGAGUGUGAAUUGUGAUAUGAACUGGGCUAUAUAAUUCAACCUUCCCAAGAAUCCUUUAACUUCUUUCUAUGUUUUGAGAGUAGGCAAAUCACAGAUUGCUUGAACCUUAUUCGAGUCAACUUCUAUUCCUCUUUCACUGACGACGAAACCAAGUAACUUUCCUAAAGUGACUCCAAAAGUGCACUUUGCCAGAUUUAAUAUGAGCUGAAACUUCCGUAACCUCUUAAAUAACCUUUCAAGAUUGGUCACAUGGUCCUCUGUCUUGCGAGCUUUUACAAUCAUAUCAUCCACAUACACCUCAACCUUUUUGUGCAUCAUGUCAUGGAAAAGAGUCACCAUGGCUCAUUGCUAAGUUACCCUAGCAUUCUUCAAACCAAAUGGCAUUACCUUAUAACAAAAGGUCCCCCACAUAGUUAUUUAGGUAGUUUUCUCUCUGUCCUCUGGUGUCAUCUUAAUUUGGUUAUACCCUGAAAAACCAUCCAUAAAGGAAAACAUGGAAUGACGAGCAGUAUUGUUAACAAGGGUGUCGAUGUGGGGUAGAAGAAAAUUAUCUUUUAGGCUUGCUCUAUUCAAAUCUCGAUAGUCCACACACAUUCUCACUUUCCCAUCUUUCUUAGGCAUUGGGACAAUAUUUGCAACCCAUUCGGGGUACUUAGCUACUUCUAAGAAUCUUGUAUCGAACUGCUUUUUCACCUCUUCCUUAAUUUUUAACAGCAUUUCACGUUUCAUCCUUCUUAACUUUUGCUUAAUUGGUUUGCAUUCGGGUUUCAAAGGCAAUUUAUGGGCUACAAUGUCUGUAUUGAGUCCUAGCAUAUCUUGAUAGGACCAUGCAAACACAUCUACAUAUUCAUGGAGUAGCUUUAUUAGUUUUUCUUUUUCAAUUGGCACCAACGUCGUACCAAUACUAACUUCUUUCUUAUUUUCUUCAUUUCCCAAAUUAAUCGUUUCAAGCGUCUCUUAAUGUGGGACAAUUUGUCUCCCCUACUAUUCUACUAAUCUUAACAAGUUCGGAGUUAAAUCAUAAUCCUCCACGUUUUCUGUAUCGUCAAGUUUACUGACACUUGUACCUUUUUCAAAAUUAACCUCAAAACUACUGUCAUUAUCAUCUUCGCAUUCAUUAUUUGGAAUCCUAGAAGGUCAUAGGAAUUGAAAGAUGUAGAGCUAUUGUAUAGAUAAAUAGUUAAAAUAAAGGGAUGAGAUGACAAGAAUGAAAAUGGUGAAUCAUGAUGGGAGAUAUGAGAAAUGCACUACGCAUGUCAAUUUAUUAGAAUGAUAAAUGAUAAAAAGCCCGAUACAUAAAAUUUCCAAUACUCUUGGGCAUAAGCACUGAUGUUUAGUUUGCAUUACUUUGAAAUUGAAUCACAAGUGACUGGUAAACUCAUGGUGGUCUAGCUGCUCAACUUCAACUCAGGUGGUCCGAGAUAUGUAGUAGGGAUCCCCUCCGUAUUUCCUAGCUGCUCUCCGCCUUCCUCCGUUACACAUAUUGAUAAAUCAGAAAAGGCUUCCCCUAAUGCUAACACUGAUUCUCGACUCCCAACAGUGAGUGAUUCAGGAAAGAUGCAGCCUCCGGACUGAAAUGUCUCGUAGAGAUUAGGAUAUAUCAUUCUAUGAUUUUUCAACUCGUGCCCCUUAAAGCGAGCCAACCUUUCCCUUCUUCUUUCGGCUAUCAUUUCUUCUAUUUCCUUCUUAGUCGACUUAUAUCCCAAGCCAAACCUUUCUUCAUUUUUGGUAGCACGUAUUGGCCUUUUAAUGCCUUGCAGUUCUCUUCCCAAUCCUGCCCCCGCUCGGUAUCCUUUCCCUACAUCUAACUGAUAGCCAUCUUGGUAGUUUUGGAAAGCCUCGGAAUAGGUGGUGUGGUUCCUUCUCCAACAUAUGUGGUAUUAACAAACUCGAAGGAUCGAAAGGAACAUUCAAGCACUUCUUCCGCCGCUUCCACGCAAGGAGUAUCCGCUGGCUUACUUAUGAGUAAGUCCUCUUCCCCGUUAACACAUACAAUCUUCCCAUCCACAAUGAACUUGACUUUUUGGUGAAGCGAUGAAGGUAUGGCCCUAGCCAAGUGGAUCUAAGGUCUUCCCAACAAAUAAUUGUAUGAAGGAGCGAUAUCCAUAACAUGGAAUUUAGUGGUAAAGGUGCAUGGGCCUAUUUAUAUCGGUAUCUCAAUGUCCCUCACUACUUCUCUCCUUAUCUUAUCAAAGGCUCUAACAAUCAUCUGACUCUUUCUCACGUAAGACAUGUCGAUGGGUAAGCGAGCCAAGGUCCUCAUAGGCAUCACAUUCAAGGACGAUCCAUUAUCAAGCAACACUUUUGCGACGGUACAACCUUUACACUUGGUAGUGAUAUGCAAGGCUUUGUAGUUUCCCCUACCUCUAGAAGGGAUUUCUUCAUCGCUAAAGGAUAUUAUGUUGCCCACUGAAAUGUUCCCAAUGAGGUAGUUCAAAUUUUCAAUUGAAAUGUCAUGAUCCACAUAUGCUUGGUUCAGAAUCUUCAUCAAAGAAUUCCUAUGUGGUUUUGAGUUGAGGAGCAAUGAUAACAGUGAUAUACGAGUAGGCAACCUAUUCAAUUGCUCGACCACAUUGUACUCAUUGUGUUUGAUGAACUCUAGGAACUCUGCAGCUUCUUUUUCAGUCAUCAGUCCCUUUGAGCCAUCUGUCGAUUCCUGAGAUUGCACUUUUUCUUCUCUUGGAUUUUGCUUUUUUUCUUUUCCCUUCUCCUUCUUAAGAUUCUCCAAUGCCUCCGGUGUAUAGCAACGUUCGCUGCGGGUAAUCCCCCCAACACUAGUUAUAUUUGCAGCAUUAUCUUGAGAUUCGGCCAUCCAUUUCCCCGCCUUUGAAACUUGUACAUUGCAAUUGUAGUUCCACGGGACAACUUUGUCAUCUUUGUAGGGGAAAGGUUUAGGGACUUCGAUGGUCAUUUGGGCAUUGGGUUCUAUCUUCCAUAGACUCUCUACUUGGUUCAUAGAAAAUGGUCCAAAGUUUUAUCUUCAUUGGGUGGGUGGAAUCUUUGGCCAUCAUGUUUACUGCUGGCCCUAAGGCUUCCACGUAGAAUUCAAUCCUUGAUUCGUCCAUCAUCUUUUGCACUUCCUUCUGGAAAGAACUACAAUCAUCAUUUGCACUUCCUUUAUGAUAUAACCAGUAUGGUCCUUGGAUAUCUCUCGAGUCAUUUAUAUCAGGACAUUUCGGCCAAACCUCAAGCAUACUGGCCUUUACCAAGGCUUCAAACACUUUCUCCAUGGGGGUUUCCACUUCCCGAAUGUUCCUUUUAACAUACACCUCCCCUUCUAUUGCAUUUACCCCUGCCCUAACAUGAUUUGACAGUGGGUUGUUGUUAACAUUCUAUUCCGACUUCUUUUCAAAAUUCAGAAUUCUUGCCUUGAUCAACCCUUGCACCUUAUGUUUGAAUGUUGUACAAUUCUUGAUCGAAUCACCUUCGAUUCCAUAAUGAUAAUCACAAUGGGCGAAAGCGUCAUACCAUCUCGGGAAUGGAGGUUUUAAUGGCUCUAUGUAUAAAGGCGCCACCAGAUGGUUUGCAACUAACUGAGUGAAGAGUUCAGCAUAUGGGAUUGGGAUUGGGUCAAACUGUACUUUCUUUUGCUUGUUUUACCAUCCUCUUUAUUCACCGGCAGUAUGGUUGUUUGAAGGUGUUGUUUGUUGUGUGGUUGAAGCUGUAACGGGUGUGGAAGCAGGUGGGUGGAUAUUUGUGGGGUAAGGUGUCCGUUGGAUGGGAACGUAUGGGUACAGGUUAGAAAAGGCAUUUGGCAUGGGUGGAUAUAGGUAUGGGCUUUGUGAAGCAUUAUUUACAACCGGGUAAUAGGGGUAUGGUGGAUAUGGCUGGCAAGGGUUGUAGCUUUUUCCUUGGGGUUGUCCUGAAGUGAUGGCUUGGGCUUCUCCUUUAUUCUUCUUAAAAGUUCUCAUUUUUUUCGUGUGUGUCGCAUCACCUCUUUCUAUCUUCCCUUGCUUAAUGGUAGUCUCUAUUAUCUCUCUUGAAAUCACCAUAUAAGCGAAGUUCUUUGUGGCACUACCGACCAAUCGUUCAUAGUAAGGGGCUCGCAGAGUGUUAACGAACAUCACGGUGGUCUCUUUCUCAAUCAAUGGUGGCUGAACUUGAGAAUCCAUAUUCAUCCAUCUUUGAGCAUAUUCUUUGAAGGUUUCAAUGGGUUUUUUCUCCAUGUUUUGUAAAGAAAGGCGAUCCGGAGCCAUAUUUGUAACAUGCUUAUACUGAGCUACAAACGCCCGAGCAAGGUCCUUCCAUGUGUGGAUUCGAUUACAGUCCAGUUGAACGUACCACUUUGCUGCAGCACUAGUGAGGCUAUCUUGGAAGCAAUGUAUCAAGAGCUUGUCAUCAUGGGCAUAUGCAACCAUCCUUCUACAAUACAUGGUGAUGUGUGUGACCAGGCACUUGGUUCUAUCAUACUUUUCAAAGUUUGAAAUUUUGAAUUUUAGGGGUAUAACCACAUCUGAAACGAGACAGAGUUCGAUUGCAUCCAUAGAGCAAUACAUUCCCAUUCCUUCUAUCAUGCGUAGUCUCUCCUUCAAAAGGUCAAAUUUUUUGUGGGUAUCAAGAUUGUCCUUCGAUUCAAUGGAUCCACACUUGAGCUUCUCUUGUUCCUUCGGAUCAUCUAGAUCAGGUACAGAGAUAGGGUCUGAAAGGCUUGCCCCUCCAAUUGGCCUCUGUUGGGCAUAAGUCGGUGGUGGCUCUAUAGGCAUUGGCAUCCCAAAGAAAUAAUAUUGUCCUAUCGAUGGCAUAGGGAUGACGCAUUCCUUGCUGGUGGUGGUGUGAAUCCUAGUGGAUAUAUAGGGUCUGUAUUGGCUUCUGUCUAUUGAACAUCUUUUGGUGCACCAGAACUCCUCGCCAUUCUCUUCCCUUUAUCUGUCGACAUCAACUCCAAAAUCUUUGACAACUAUCCCAUAAUCUCUUCUUGCUUCUUUUCGAUCUUAUCCAUUCUCUCCGAGUGUUUGUCCCCCAUGGUCUUAGAGUGAGCUCUUAUGUUGUAUCUGUGUAAGGUUCGUUUCUCUGGAAUUUUAUUCUUUUAUGGGCCAAAUGGAUAAGUUAGAAUUUUAUGUUGACGAGUGCAUUGUCAUUUGUUUUUAUUUAUAUGAAUCAUGCAACUAUGAUGCAAGUGAAAUGUGUUUGAAAAGAAAAGAAAAAUAGGAAAAAUAUUGGCCAUCCAAUCAUUUACCAUAUGAAAAUCCACAUACAUAGAACUGAAAUAUCCGAUUACAUGAUUGUCUAAAAAUAUUACAUAACUACCAAAAGGAAAAACCAACUUGGUCAUAUUGGUCCCUAACCAUCCUAAGGUGAUCGAUUAAUCGCUCACUCAAUUCAUCCCUCGGAAGAAUCUCUCGCUUGAGUUCUUCGAUCUUGUUUGCCAUUACUCGCGCUCUAAAUGCCACUUCUCUCAUCUGCCUCAGUAUCCAUCGCAUUUCAGCUUCUUUCCUUUGAAGGCUUUGUGUGCACGAAUCAUUUCUUUCCCUCAUUUGAAAAUACUCUUGCCUUACUGCUUCAUAUUGUGCCUUGUAGCCCUCAAUGGCAGUUUCUAACAAGCUACAGUCAUUUCUCAACUCUUGGAUAGUUUGUUCUUGUUUUCGUAACUUGUGCUGCAAAGCAUUGUUAACACUUUGGAGUUCUUGCAUUCUGGCUAUUAGAGAAGAAUUUGCCAUGUUCACUUCCUCAAACUUGCUUCGCCACUCAUCCCGCUCUUCCAAAGCCAUUCGUACCUUUCUUGUCGUCUUUUUCUUCACUUCUUCUAGCUCAUCCUCAUGUCUCCGCUUCAUAUUCAUCAUCUCUUUUUUAAGUCUCUUUCUUGUCAACUCACUCUCUAGCAGGACAUCUUGAGGUUCUGGGUUUAUGGGAUGUUUUGAUGGAUUUUUCGGGGGGCAUACGACAUCUUUCACCCUUUGGUCGUGCCAAGUAUGAUUCCUGUGGUGACUUCAUCGGUAACCCUCCCUUGAUCCACUCGACACGAUUUCUUCCAAUCUUGUGCAAUUUCCUCAAUUUUCUUUAGCGUUUUCGGCUCUCCAUAUGUAAACUCUAACUGGUUGAGCUGGUGAGUCACGGGCACGAAUUGCUCAGAUUUGAACUAUCUCCGUACCAUUAUCGGUGCAUAGCUAAUGGCUCUUCAUGGUCCCAUCAGCGGCACCCACGGCUUGUCCCCUCAUUUAUACAUUACUUGCAUUCGCGGCAUCCAUGGAACUCUCCAAGUUACUUCAACGCUCAUUAACCUCUAGAGAUUCGCGACCCACUCUUUUUUCCUCUUGCAGUCAGGCCAUACACUUUCGCAGAACUCAAGGAUAAGGCAACUUGCAGACAAAUAAGGCUUUCAAAAUUUGCUCUCUUUGCAUUCGAAAUGGCUUUUGAUCCAUAUGGUUAAGAGUUAGGCACAUCCGAUGAAUCGUCCAUCGCCUUUGCGCUGACAGAAAUUCAAAGAUCUGAAGGUUUCAGCUAAGAUGGAUGGGGCCGGGUUGAUGCUCCUUGUCACCUGAUCAAAGAAGUCUAUAACUAAUACCUCCACAUGACCUAGAACCUUCGGGAAAACCACUAAGCCAUAGAUUGCCAUCGCGAAAGCUAGGAAACCUUGUUCAUUUUCCAUGUGUUUUUUUAAUAUAUCCGUUCAAGAAACUCCACGGAAGGCAUUCUGUGUCUCCUUUCUUCUUCAGGUGCUAAUCCACUUCUACCGUAGUCAUUCCUAGCAACUUGGCCAACUUUCGCCGGUGUCCCGUCUUCUGGGCCCUCCAAUAGAUCUUGUCAAGCUGCAUGUUAUCUAUCCGGAGUAGAGAGGAGUACUUUUCUAUGGUAGGGGUCAUGUCCACCUUGUUAAAGACAAAGCAACGAUAUGAAGGAUCCCAAAACUGGACGAUGGCUCGGAGCAUCUAGUCAUCAACAAGUACAUAUAAGAGCCAUGCAAUGUGUCCAUACUUGCUCUGAAAAUAGUCUCGGUGAGCACGUCUCCACUGUUCCUAAAUUCCUAUCAUCUCUGUGAAGUCAUUCUACUGAAGGUCCAAGUGAACUCUCUUGGGUAAAGUUGGGAUAUGUCCUUGGGUCAAACAGUCUCCUUUUUCUUAUUGAAUCUGCCCCAUCUGUAACUCUAUCUCAUAGUCAUUUCUGUAUGUGUUGAGUGGAUCUGCUGAUGACGAUGCCAUAGAUGUAACCGGGAUCUCUUAGGUUGGAUGUUAUGUAGCCAAUAUUUCUCCUAUAUGCAAUUACGAUGCAUGUAAAUGAACAUGUAACAUGCACAUGACAAGCAAAAUAAACUUAAGUUAGUAUGGUAAAAAGAAAGAGUGGAGUGUUAAAAAAUAAUUAGAGAAUAAUAAGUAAUAUCAUGGGUAUUACUGUCUACUCCACGAUACUUUAUUAUCUCAUGGUAAAAUUUAAAAUAGAGGGAGUGGAAGAAAUUCUUUCAUGUGUACCUAUUUACAGGGUAUACUUUCAUGGGUAUGGCCCUAUCUAGGGUUAAGCUGCUCUCGGUAUUCUAUAUGCUAAGCGAGGUUUAUAAACAAAGCUAAGGUUCCCAUAUCGUUCCUCACUGUCGUCCACGCGGACUAGUAAGGCACCACGGUCCUCACCCAUUACAAGCUUUAAAUGGACUAGGUUCGAUUUGAGUGGAAGUCUUCACUAGCCCAUGCGAAGGUUAUCACCUCACGAGAGCGUAGCUACUAAACUCCCUCCUAAAAAUGGACAUAACUCGAGUAGAGGGUUUAUGCAUGAAUGCAAAAUGUGCUGUGUGUGUGGAGGAAAACAUCGAGUUCGGAGUAAUAUUUUCACAUCCAUCUAUCCUAAAUCCCCACAAUUAUUAAAAGUAAUAAAGUAACAAAUGCGAAAUAAACAAAUGCACUAAACAAAAUAUGCAGAACAAAUCAUCAACACUAAGGAAACAUCGAAUUAUUUAAAGCCUUGGAUAACCUAUUAUUAUUUAAUGGUUCGACUCUCGGCAUUCCCCAAUGGAGUCGCCAACUGUCGUAACGUGCGGGUUUGAGAACCCGACCGCCAGACGCUAGUGAAAACUCUAAAAAACUAAGAGUCGUCACCAAUCCUUUUUACUAGGUGCGAUUGGCCACCUAUUGACUCGAUUCUAAUCGAUGAAGCCUAAAAUUAAUUUUAAGCCCACCGAAAAAAACCCUAAGCUGGUCUACAUUUUUCUAGAUCUAAGUUCGAGAGUACGAUUACCGAGGAAGGAUUAGCACCCCCGGGACGCCCGUUCCAUAAAUGGUGCCAUUUUAGAUUAUCCUAUUAGGCUUUAAUUUUUAAUUUCACUAUAUUUCCUUAGUUAUUAUUCUAUUAUUUUAUCUCCUAUUUAACCUAAAAUAGAAUGCAAAUGUGAGGCAAGAUGAAAUGCAUGGUGUGGGAUAAAAAUAUGUCGGAUGAAUAACCUUUUAUUGAGGGCGUUCUCCUGAAUCCGCCCAUCAUACUGGUGGGAUCCGCGGUGUUCUCUCACUUAGGAAAUUAUUCGAGAAAUUCGCCUUCGCAAAUUCGACGAAUAAAUCUCAUUAUCGGGGUCAUCGUACGUUUUCUUUUAAAAUAAUAUUUUUGUGCAUAAUGAACCUAAUACGGGCAAAAGCCUUUUAUUAAAGAUGUUCCUCGAGCCCUCCCAUCAUACUGGUGGGACCUAGGGACAUCUUUACACCUAAAAAACUUUUUGAGGAAUACCCGCCUUCGCAAGAUCCUCGGAAGAUCCCAUCAUCGGGGCUUAAACUCGAAAACAAAAAUAUUUAUAUGCAAUGAUGCAACAUAUAUAUAUGCUAUGCUAAUGCAAUUAUCUAUUUUUUUUGUCAUUUUUUUAUUAUUUUUUUAUUAUUUUCAUUUUAUUUUAUUUUUUAUUAUAUUUUUUAUUUUAUUUCUAAUUAUUAUUUGUUCAUACUUUACAUUUUUUUAUUCUAAGUUACUUUUAUAUUUUCCUUUUAUAAUUAGAUAAAUUGUUUGUGAUUCCAUGUUAUUUUAGUGAACAAAAAUUUUAUUAUUAUUUUUAUCAUACAAUUUCUUAUUUUUUUAUAUUUUUAUAUUUUUAUUAUUAUUAUAUUUUUUCGUAAGCAAUCUUUAAUCCAAACCUAAAGCCUAAAAUCUUAUUUUAUAUAUCUAUAUUUAAUUCUUUUUUUUCUUUCUUAUCUUUGUCUUCACAUUUCUUUUUAUAAUAUUUAUUAAUUCAUAGUUUGUGCCACUUGAUAUUUAAGGCUUAAUUUUAAAUUAGUUGUUGUUUUAGAUUUUUUAUUAUUAUUUAUUUGUUUUAUAUUUUUCUAUUUAUUUAAUAUCAUGUAUAUUGUAUAUUCACAAAUUAAUUAUUUACUAUAUAUUUGAAUUAAUUUUUUUUUACCUAUUGUUAUUUAUUUAUUAUUUUAUUGAAUAACUUUUGUAUAACCAAAUUCUUUAUUUAUUAAAAAUUUCAGGAUCUUGAAAUCGAGGCCCUCCCAUCGUACUGGUGGAGCCUUGAUUCGAUUCCGAACCUAGGGAAUAUGGGCCCGGGAUUGCGACUUCUCGCAUCCCGACCAAUCAUCCCAUCAUCGGUAUUAAGUUAAACAAUUAAUUUAUUUAUAAAAAUAGUUAUUUGUUUUAUACCAUUUUCAUAUACAUAUUUAUUUACUUAUUUAGACUUAAACAUUUAUUUAUUUCUUAUUUUUAAUUCUCUAUAUAUUUUUAAAAUCCCUAGUCACGAUAAAAUUUAAAUUCUUUUCCUUGAUUAUCUUAUACUUAUCAUGCUCCUCAACACCACUGGGCCAAUCAACAAGUUUAUACAACAAAUAAAGAAGGGGACUUUACCUUGUUUGGAUUCUAGUAAGGACCCAAAGUGAUUGAUCCACUAGGUAGUAUUCCAAGCCCGUAUACUUAGCCCACCGAGCCUUUCCGGAACGCACCGCUCCGAUGCUUAAGCAGCAACAAGUCUCUAAGCACCCCACAAACGACGUCAUCCAAAAGAAAGAAGAAAAAGCCUUUUGAAAGGCAAAUAUGACAUCAUUUCAAAGGUGGCAAAUCCCAAGUCUAUGAGCUCUUUUCUUCUUCUCUCUUCACCUCUUCCAAUCAAUUUCUCUCUCUUUAAAACAACAUUUUUUUCUCUCUAAAUCUCUCAACUACCGGUCCUUUCCCCUCUCUUUAUGCCCACCGGCGACAGGACCUAAAGUUCCUCCUAAUCGGCUGCAAUACAAGCUUCAUUAUUCCUAACCCCGCGGCGCCGAUCUCUCUCUCUCAAAGACCCCUCAUCGGCAGCCACCACCUAGACAACCAGAUCUCCUUUUCGCUGGCAUUGCCCAGAUCGGAUCUCGCUCUUUUCGUCGGCUAUCUCAAAUGACCGGCCCUCUCUUCGUUGUCUCUUUGCCCGAACUGGUCUCUCUCUCUUUGCUCGAAUUGGGCUUUACUCCCCUCGCUACCCCAAAGAAAUCGGACUCUCUUCCACUCUCUCUCUCUGCCCACCGACGGCAAGACCCAAAAAUCAAAAUAAAAAAAUUCUCCAAAACCCGGCUACUCUUCUCCUUCCAUUGUGUGUUUUUGCUUGAUUUUUUUGGCAUUUUUGGUACAUUUUUUGAUUUGUGGAUAGUUGUGGUUGGUUGGUUGGUUGGCUGCUAGAAUAGGAUUUUUUGGUUUUAAUGCUACUAGUUUUUUUUUGGCUACUAAGGAUUCCUAGGGUUUUUGCUGUGAGGGAUUUUUUUGGUUUCCAAGUUGUGGCUCCUCCCUCGGAUGAAUGCUAAAGUGCCCCCUUUAUACUGGGUUGAAGGGGGCACUCACCACUAUUCUGUCAGAUGCGAAUUUUUCACGUCUAGCAGGGUGAGGGUGGCGCCUAGCAAGAAAGAUGGUGCUUGGCAAGGCGCUUGACAAGAAAGAUGGUGCUUAGCAGGGUGCGUCCGCACCCUGCCAAACAUACUACUUUUUUUUAAAAAAAAAAAAAUUAUUUUAUGAUUCCUAAUUAAUUAAAAUUUUAUUAUUUAUUAUAUUUUUUUCAGUGUCUACACUCAUUAUACUUUUCCUUACUUGGUGUCUUUCAACUAUAACAAGUUUUAAAUUUUUCUUCUUUUAAUUGAUUAGGAGCUCUACAAGCUGAAAAGGACUAAUCUUAAAAUUCUUAGUACUGUUCACACUCCUCUAGCACACUAACGGGACCAACACAUUCUCAACCAAUAUAGCAUUCAAAUCACUAAACCCUCUUAAAACUCCCAAAAAAAAAUCGACAUUUCUUGACUUGACCUAUGUUGCUAACUUCUUCCUUGUCACUGCUAACUUUAUUCUCAACUUGUUUGAACACUUCCCAAUCUUUCAGAAUGAGUGAAACGAUCAUUUAAUAUUCCUGCAUUGUUAUAUAUCUACCAUUUUUGUUUGUGACAGUGUCUAAUAAAUCAAAGAAAAUCAUUAUCAUAUUGUGCAACAAGAGGAAUGUUUUACAUUUAACAAAUUGUCUUCUAUCAAAUUCUGACAUUAUCUAUUUUUUUUCAUUGACUGGCAUGUGUAUGAUAGUGCGUGAUUGAAAAGGUUUCAUUGAAGAAUAUUUUUGUCUAAAACUAUUAUUUCUUGGUUAAAAAUAAUCAAAAUUAUGAAGAAGUUUAUUUUUAAAAACAUCUUAUAUUUGAGGGUUAAAAAAAAUUAUCCCACACAAUUAUUCGUAAAAGAAUUAUUGUAACAAUCAAAACAAGAUAAUAUUACUUAUUUUUAUUGAGGAUUUGGCCAAAUUUGAAUCGAUUGAUUGUUACUUAUGAUUUUGAAAACGAAAAUUGGAUGGCUUGUUUGGUUUGAUAGAAUUUGUUUUUCAUUUCAUUUUCUUCAAAUUUUCAAUCGCUUUCCUCUUGCUUUCCACGGAACUUGGAUUUGCCCAUACCGUCCACCACGUAAGCUUUCCCGUAAGGACAUAAACGUCCUUGAAACAAAAUAUCAAGGACUUUUUUGUCAAUUCAUCGUAAACCCCAGCACAACCGCACCUCUUCUUUCUUCCUUUCUUUCUUCUUCUUCUAAAGUGCGGAGAUAAACUCAAAUGAUGAAUAUAUAGAAGAAAGAGUCCGCCAAUCUGAGUUAUUUCCUGACCUUUAAUUUGUAAGAUCUAAAUCUGAUCAAAAAAGAAAAAGCAAUGGAAGAGGUGAGAUCAGCUGUGGGGGAGCACAUGGAAUUAAUGGCGGAUCUAGUUCAGAAGCUAUCUUCGGAGCUCCGUUCGGGCCUACGACCCGCCUACAAUAACUUCAUAGGAUUCUUCCACGCCAUCGACUGGAAGGUAUCCUCUCUUUGUUUUCUGUUUAAUUCCCGAGAAACUGAGGAAAUUUUGAGGGGAUUUACAAAAUCUGGAUAUUUGAGGUUGGAAUGAGUGCUUUUGAUUAUUUUCUCGUCAGCAUUUUCUCGGUAACCGGACAGAAUAUUACUUAAUGGUUAAGAAGUAAAAUUUGAGAGGAAAUUCGGCUGUAAAAAUUCUGUUUUAAAAAAAAUAGGAGUAAAGAAAAAGUAGAUUUUUUUUAAAUAUUUCAUUCUGAAGCAUGUAAUUUGAUUGCAUAAUGCCCAAAAUAUCAAUUAAAUUGGUGAUUGGAACAAUUCCAAAUCUUAGUUUGAAUUGGAAAUGAUGUCCUAUUCCAAUUCUCUACCUGAUAUACCCAGUGGGAAGGCAGUUUGGAGUUAGAUGGUUGCAGCUCUACUAUAAUGUUGAUAUAUGGUUUUCAAACUAAACAUAUGGUGCAUGGUUUGUGAGAUUAAUCUGUCUUACUUUGAGCUUUUUGAUCUUCAGUUUACUAGUUCAGCUAUUCCUAACAUGAAUCUAGCUUUAAUGCAUGGUUGUGAGUAAUUGAAACUCUUCAAAUGGGAUGCUUAAAGCCAAAAUAUCAUCAUUUGGAUGACUCGUUGUUUAUCAUCAAGUCUUAGGCAUUGUCCUUAUAUUCAAUAUGACAACAUAACUGCAAUGUUAAAGGUUCUUUUGUUAUGUGUUUUUAUUAUAAUUUUGAAGCGUGAGGGGGUUUGGGGUGCUAAUCUGACUUGAUCUCACUUGAGUUCUUUAUCUAGCUUCUAUUCAGAACAAUUUGCUAACCCACUUUAAUUUUUUGCUCUUGUUGGCAGGAACCAUGGUUAAUGUGCUUGCUGGCAUUCCAUGUUGUCUUACUGAUAAUAACAAUCUUCUCAAGGAAGAAUACUAACUUCCAGAUGUGUUUGUUCCUUCUGGCAUGUAAGUUUGUUGCCUUGUUAUCUGCAAUCACCAUUGUUAUAUCAGUAUUUAGAUCUCUCCUCAUGACUAGAGUAGUUUGUGUAUCAAUCAUAUUGAUUACUUGCUUUAUUUAAGUCCGAAGCUUAAUACAUAAACUGUCUUGUUGUGGUUGAAUGAUCAAGGACAUAUGUAAUAUUGCACAUUAAUAUGUCAUAAAGACCUUGCAGUUUGAUCAUGGUUGGCCCAAUAGUCAUUGACAAGUCUGUAUUCUCUCAAUUAACAAUUAAUAGUGUUUCCUUAAGCCCACCUCUUCAGUGAAUAAGAAAAAUGUACAAGUCUAUUUAAAAUUUCUAAUGAAUACAGAUGUCCCAAUUACUCUUUUGUUUUAAAACAAAGUGUGCUUUGGAUGCAUGCAAUCUUCAAUUCCAGAAGGUGAGAAGGAUGCUAUCAUUUCAAAUGUUCUUCUCAGCUCAAAAUGUACACCAAGAUGCAUAAAUAAUGAAACAACAAGCAGAAAUAAAUAAAUUAGUGCAGCAAAAGAUGGUUCUCAUUCUAUAGCUAGCCUAAAAGUUUUAGAGGUCCUCUUUCACAUCUAGGGCUUUUGUCCUUCAUUGCAUGCAAAGUUGGUUUGGGAGACAGAAGCCUAGUGUUUGAGAAGAUAUCCAUAGAAUGGUGAUGUUUACUGGAAAGAACUCUGACUAGUUUUCAAAUAAUAACAGUAGAUGACUUGAUAGGCAAAAGAACCCCUGUUUAUCUUCAUUUAGGGUAUGUACACUUUCUUCCAUGUCUGCUCCUAGCCUCUUAGCCCUAUAACCUUGAUAGUCAACUAUGUAGAUAUGGGACAUAAAGUAGCAACUUUCCAUGCAAGUGAAUGUUUCAAUUUUAACUAGGAUGUCUAGUAGUUGGCCUCAAGCAAGGGAUCCAAGAAAUAGGACUUUCAGUUUCAGAAUUCGUUUUUAAAAUUUCUUUGGUUAAGCCAUCUGUGGAGUCAAUAAAGUAGAAAACAAAGUUGAAACUUGUAAUCAAAAUCAUUUCGCCAUGUGAUGUGGUCAUGAAUAUAGACGGGCAUAAGUUUAUAAACCUUUACUGCAGUCAAUCUCGGAGUUUUUAUUUUUUAUUUUUUUAAGUGUUUUCAUGAGUAUCCUGGGAGUCAACACAGCUGAAACUUUGGGAUGAAGAUCAUCUUGCCAUUGAGGGGGUCAUGAGAGAAAAAGGUUGAAGUCCAGUGUACAUCCAUUUAUAGGUUGCAAGUCUUAUAUAUUUAUUUAAUUUUUUUACAGUUGGAAAUUUUGAUUAAUAAGUCUUAUUGAAUAGAACUUAACUGAGUAACCAGCAGUAACUCAAUAUUGAAGCCUUUUAAUGUUAUCAAGCUCUCUAGGACCAUUAGCAGCAAUAUAGAAGCCAUUCAAUGUCAUCAAGCAUUCUGAAACAGUUAGCAGGAUCAACUGCGUGUCUGCACAAAAAGUCAUCUCUGUUGUUUACUUUCUAGCAAAUUAGUCUGUAUUCUGUUACAUACAUCACCAAACAUCCAAGCAAUGUGAAAACAAUAUUGUAGUUCAAUUUAUUUUGAAUAUUCUUUGCAAUUCUAGCUUAUAUGCUUCAUGAUGUCUUGUAGUGGUUGGUGUAUAUCUUGCUGAGACGCUCAAUAAAUUCCUUGGUGACAACUGGAAGAGGUUUGCAACCCAAAAUUAUUUUGAUCCAAGUGGACUUUUUUUAUCAGUACUCUGGUCUGGGCCUCUUCUUGCUAUUGCAAUCAUCAUCUUGGUCAGUGUUCAGGAACUUCUUUUCCUGUGCUCCCUUUGUUUGAAACCUUUUUCACCUUUCUCUAAACCUUAACCUCUGCUUCUUUCUGCAGAUAAACACUCUCUUUACCAUGUGUUACCUAAUAGUUAGGUGGAAAAAGGCCGAGCUCAGACACCGUGCAAGGCUUUCUCGUAACAAGCAGGAUUGAAAUUACCUUGUACUGCAUUGCUGCCUCUUCUAGUUCGUUAAGCAUGAGCAAUACAUGUUAAAUUAUUUUUAGUUUUUUGUUUGUUACAUGCUUCUUUUUAUUUCUAGAGUUGCUUUUAGUAUUUUGUGUUCUUUACUUCUUUUCAUAAAGUAAUCUCCUUACUAUUCUCAAAAAAAAAAAAAAAGUUGUGCUCUUGCAUCAUGGUCUCCUUUCAGAAUGGGUUAGGAGGUGCAAGAUAAAUUUUCCAUUUCUAUUUCAUCCUUAGUGCGUUUAAAAUGGUGUAUAUCAUUAGAUGGGCAGGGCUGUUUGCUCUAGAUUUGUGUACCAUUCAAGUUUUUAUUUCAGCAAAAUUCAGUUAGUUCUCAUUUCCGCAUAUAUGGUUUUUGUUCAGGCAUAUGAAAUGAGGUUUUAGAAGUUUAGCUGUUCCGUCUGGGCCUGCUGCAAAUUUUAAUAAUUUCUCCCUGUUAAUUAAUCUAUAUAAUUAGGAAAUUUUUUAAUGUGAUGGACAUUUUUAUUAUCUUGUAAAUGCUAUGUCAUGUGACAUAUAAACUAUAAAUUAAAUCAGUAGGUAAGGGUUAGUGGUUCUUAUCUUUGCCCCUAACUAUUAGCAAGAUUUUAGGAGAUUGACAAAAGAUAUUUGUAGCAGCCUAAGGGUCCAUGUUAAAGUAGGAGUUUGACCAGAAAAACACGUGAGAGCUCGGUUGGCAGAACCACAAACGUCUAACCGGCAGAAUUAGCUAAUUACAUGAGGAAGAUCGAGUCAAGCUUAUGUGAUGGCAGAAUUAGCUAUUACUAAAAUUCAGCUACUAGACUUGGAAAGUGGAGGCGGUGGUUGCAUUUCUGGAGGAAGGUGCUUUCUGUGCACCAAAUUUGUAAGAAAAUGGCUAAAAUAGUGUUGGCAAACAUGGUAUAGAUCUAGUGGCAAAAAUGAAAGCAAGGACAUGUGGCAUGAUCCUAUAGAACCAAGAGCUCUGUACAUAUUGAUGCUGAACCAAAGAAAAGACUCCUAUGACUCACACUUCUCGACACAACUCAAAGCUCAAUUAUCCAAGUCCUUGGCUUUAAAAAAACAAAAAAUGUUGUCCUGGCUACAGCAGCUAUUUUGUCAUUAAACUCUUAGUAAGCAAUCUUUUUAAUCUCUAUCUCUAACAGCCAUUAUGAUUAUUUCUUGUGUUUUGCAAGCUUGUCGAGUACUUUUUAAUCAAUUCAAUCAACCCCAACAAAUUGCCUUUUUAAGUUUGUGCAACUUUCACGAUUUUGAAUAAUAUGUCUAUUGCAGUUUUCUUUAAUUUCAAUUGUAUUUAUCAGAUUUGUUACUUUGUGUUUCUGUCUAUCAUUAUGGUAUUGUGAUUAUUCACUUUUAAUGGUUUAAGCUUCAUUGCAGCUUCAAAAGGAACCUUUGGUCGAGACAUCUUCCCAAGGUCGAAAUCAUUUGAUCAAUUUACCUAAGGUGCCUUUUAUUUUUUUUACAAAUAUAAUUAACACGCUUGAUAGAAUUAGUGUUGCAAAAUAGAAAUCAACACUUCUUUUGACAUGCCCGAUGGGACUUAGAUCAAAUAUGCCACUAAACAGAAACAAAUGAAGGAAUCCCAAGCACCUGAGAUGGAAGCAUUUGCCACUCAUGUUUGUGACAACCCUUUUUAACUCUAAUGUCUCAACUAGUAGGUCUUGCACUCGCGAGAAUGACAAAUCAAAAGAAAAGAUUGAUUGAUGAAGUGGUCCAAUCUUCUUGAGAAAACAUAAGGGCCAUGGCCAAAUUUGUUAACAAAGAUACUGAUGUCCGAAGAAACGAGAUAACUGUCAGUAGGAAAAUUCUUGAAGACCUCAUUGACAAAUUGUUCUACAACCAUGCUGGGGGCAAGAGCAACCUUCCACAAGAGUGGAUGAGACAAAAAUUAGAAAUAGCGAGCGGCUUGUGGCCCAAGAUUGACUAGAGCAUUUAUUAGCCCUCUCAAGUUGGAAAGCACGAAUGCAGCCCUUUGUAUAGGCCUACUCCCAGGUAGAAAAUCGAGCCUACCUAGGUAGAUCGUGAUCAGUUGGUCGAUGUGGUGUAAGAAGUAUAUAGGCCUAACUUUCGCAGAAUUGGUUGCCCACGACGAGGCCCUUAUAAACAUAUGGGCUCUCAGUUUACUAUGGCUACGCUACACUUGUUCUCCGCUGGACAAGUCUGUCAAUAUUUUACUUGGGUUUAAAUACAACUGUUAUACUUGGCCAAUGCAUAGCAGUGGAUAAUAAAUGUGUUAUGUAUUCUUGACUUGUGGAUUUUGUCACUAACUGUCUUUUGACUGUUUUGAGAUUACGGAUUUAAUCAUGAAGUACAUUCUAUUCGGUAUAUUCAUAUUAUACAUAUACGUUGACAUGCAUCUCCAUAUUUUGUCCAUGCAUUAAGGAUUAUUGAAAUGAAUUGUGAGACUUGCUUGGAUCUAGCAAAUUAUAUUUGUAUGAACUCUUGCACCAAUCAUGGUCUUGAAAAUAGGUUGUGACAGUUGCUUAUCAUCAUAACUUUGUAAAUUAACUAAGAGAGGCUUGUAUAAUAGGGUGGCCCUCGUCUUGUUGCCUCUAGUCUAGAAUCUCUUAACCAAUAAGCUCCAUAGUAUGAUUGACUCCCAGUAAACCACCUACAAAAUCCUUUAAGAUCACUUCCUAAGCUGUGGGUAUUGCAUCAACCUCAAGAGGCUGACCCUUAGUCUGUACAAUAGUAGGCGUAUCCGUCCUCCCUAAAAUAACGGCCUUGUCACAUCUGUCACAACCUUCGAUAGGCAUAAAUGGUCUUAUGGUGGUCUUUGUAGGAGCAUCUGGCUCUACCACACCUCUUGCACUAGCUCGUGGCCUAGGUGGCAUAUUGUGAAACCCCAACCUUUCAUUCAUGUGGAAUUUAUUUAAGUUGUAAUUGUUGGUAUAAGCCUUAAUACAAUUGUGUUGAUGGAUGAGUUUCCCAACUAUUUUGUUAUGAAUGUCUUCCAAAUAUUGUGUUAUAUUGGUGUAAGAUCCAUGGUUGAAAGAAUAGGAGGAAAAAGGAAACCAAAAGAAUGUGUUUUUGCAAGUUAAGUCAUGAAAGAUCGAUCAUUCGAAGCUUUUAGGCACAAAAUAGCUUAUAGAAUUAAAAAAGAUCGACCCUUGAAGAGAGAAGUGUUAAUCCCUAAACAUUAAGACACUUUGAAUAGGUUUUGGAAUUGAAAAGAUCGACCCCAAAGCCUUGAAAAGCUUAUUCCUAUAACACAGAACAUUUAGGAUAGCUUUUGGAACAAGAGGGAUCAACCUUUGAAGAAAGGAGCAUCGAUCCCUGCACAACAGAACCCUUAGAAUAGUUUUUGAAAUCACAAAGAUCGACCCCUAAGGGUAAAAGGUCAAUCCUUGCAAGUGAAAACCUAAAAUUUGCUUCUAGAAUCGAAAAGGAUCUAACCUUAAAGAUUUAGGGUCGAUCUUUGUAACCAUAGGGAAAAAAAAUAGACCUAGGGAUCAACCCCUAGGCAUUAAAAGGUCAAUCCUUAGGCUUUAGCAUUGAAAAAUAAAAGACCUAUCUUAAGCCACUUUUCUCAUUUCUCAUUUCUGUCAAGCUCGUACCACUCUCCAAACCCUUCUAUAGCCUUUAUAGACCUUAUUUUGCAAGGAUUAAGCCUUCCAACUCGAAUCCAAUGUAAAAUUUAACCAAUUUUAAGCUUUAAAUCCAUGGGCUUAGCCUAACCAUCUUUUUUUAAGAAUUUUAGCACAAACCUUUUUUUGAGUUAAGGAUUUUUCUGGGUUUUUCUUUCCAAAGAAGAUAUUGAGGUAAAGAUGUUCAUAAUUGAACAAUAUAUACUUUAAAUUUGUAGUUUUAUACUUAUUGGACUUAAAUAGAAGAGUAUGGGUUUGCUCCACUAGUUUUGAAUAAAUAGAUUUGAUAGAAAAUUAGGAAACUCAUGAUAAAAUUUAUUUUGGUAAGAUUUGUUGAGCUUGAGGAUCGUAGAAUGAGUGAGGUUAGACAAAGCGAGGCAUAGAAAAUGAUAAAUCAAGGUGAGUGGAUACACCCCUUCAAAGUAUUUUGGUACUGUAAAGCUAUACAUGAUUUAUUGACUUGGUUGCCUCACAUGAUUUUGAAUGUUAUAUUGAAAAAGAUAAAUUAAAAGGUUUAAGAUCAAAUGAAUUCAAAGAGUUUUAGAAUUUAUAUAUUUACAUAAAUAUCUUUAUUAUGUAUUAGCUCUUAAGAAGGGGAGACAAGCUCUUUUAAAUGGUUUCCUUCAAAACUGAUUCCAUGAUGAUGCAAAUUAAUAUACCAUGGCAUGUAUGAAUGAUUGCUAAGGUGGAUGUUUGCAUUCCCACCCAUACGAAUUGAGAUGAUCAUGCGUAGGUUUAUGUGUAUGAAUUGUUGUUAGUUGAGAGCCCUUUAGUUGAUGUGAAUAAACUUCAAACCUUCAAUUGAUAUUAUGUAUGUGAUAAAGCUCAUAAAUGGGGUACAAAUACCACUACCUUUUGCCAUUAGUGGGGCUGAUAAUGCCACUAUCUAAUUGCCUUCAGUGGGAUGAAAAUACUUCUACCUUUUGCCAUUAACGGAGUCAACAAUAUCACUAUUUGUAUUACCUUGAGUGGAGCAGAAAUACCAUUAUUAUAUAGCCUUGAGUUGGAGCGGAUGUACCAAUCUUUCAAUAGCCUUGACUGGGGUGAAAAUACCACCAUGAAAUAACCUUGAGUUGGGCAGAUUUACCAAUCUCCCACAUGUAGUCAUUGAUAUGGCUUGCUUCAUUAUUACAUAAGAAUUAUGAUAUUAUGAAAUGUAAAUUAGUUUGAUGAUGUUGUCUUAGUAUGAAAAAUUAUACAAUUGGAUGUUCAAAUUAUGUGUUCAUGCAUAGAAUCAAGGGCAGAGCUAGUCAUCUUUUGUUGGGGGAACCAAAGGGGAACAUGAAUAAAGGCUAAAAUUUUUUAAAACUAAUAAAUUGAACUUAACCAAUAAUCAAAAGAUUCAAAAUAGACAAUAAUUUUAUGUAACAUGUAAAUGAAAAAGAACAAGAAAAGAAAGCUUUAAAACAACAAGGAUGAUCAUCAUCUAAUAAAGGAUAUUUCUAAAAAAUGGUUGACAUGGCCCACGUUUGAGAUAAGCACAAUGAAUUUUAUCCCUUUGAUUGAUAGAAAAUUCUCAUAUCAUUAGCCAUAAUCCAAGAUUAUGUUUUGCAUGAAAAGCAUCAAUUUUUUUAGCAUUGAGCUACAGAUGUUUUGAUUCACAUUACUCUUAUUUAUGAGUUGAAGCAUUGAGGUUUGGUGGCUCAAAUGUAAGAGAAUCAUUUGGACGAUUUGCAUAUUUUCUUUUAAAGAAUUUGUCAAUUGUUUUCAAUUUACUCAUACUUUAAUUAAGUAUAAAAAAAUUUAAUGCAGUCAACAUCCAAUAUUCUUAUUUAUUUCUAUUUAAACUUAAAAUACUAAAUAUAAAAUUAUAAUGCAUAAAAUAUAAAUAGUUAAAUAAGAUAUAUAAGAUUUCACACAAUGAUUAAACAUAUAAAUAGUUAAAUAAUAUAAAUAGAAAGAAGAAGAUAAAAAAAACUUUACCUCUUCUUAAUUUCACACAAUAGUAGUAAGUGGUUCUGUUCUUCCUUGUCCAAACUCCCAGGCUCAUAAAUCUCUUUUAAAGAAUAAAGUGUGUUUUUCUGGUAAGUUAUAAAGAAAAGAGUAAAGUAAAUAUAUAAGGACAAAAGAGAAGAGAAAGAGAAAGGAAAGAGAGAAAGAAGUGUGGAGAAACAUAAGUAUUAAGGUAAAUUUGAUUAAGGCUUGUAGGAUCAUUUUAUUAUUUUUUAUUUGUAUUAAUUAUUAAAUAAAAAAUUUAUUUUGAGAGAACUAUUAAAAAUAUAUAUAAUAAAUAAAUAAUUUCAAAAAUCUUGAGGGGCAUAGCCCCCAUAAAUUUACUUCUCUCUGGGGCCAUUAAAAGAUAUAAUAAAUAAAAAUUUUCAAAAACCAAAAGUAUAUGACCCUUUACCCCUACAUUGAAUGGUUGUGUAGAGAACUAGCAAGUAUGAGUGCUAGAAGGAAAUGUAUAAACUUAUAUGUGAUUGAUAGUCACCCACCGUCUUGGUUUGUAUGCAAGAAUGGUAUCGUUAUCAAAGGCUAAAUUGUUGGUACCCAAAGCAUGGAAAUAUCUCGUUUUCUCCUUACAAAAGUUUUGUAUUUGUAGCUAUAAACUUGUUUUAUCCAAUUGUUUACAUAACUUGGAUUUCAACUGUGUUCAUGAGUAAUGAUAUGAAAUAAUGUUAUUUGAGCAUUUGAAAGGAACUAUAAUGAUGUUUAUGAAAUUCAUGUUGUUUUUGCAAAGUAUGGAUUAUUGUAAAAACUUUUCCUUUUGGCUUGUCCCCUUUCCGUAUUCACUAAAAGAGUAUUUCUGACUCACACAUUAGUUUCUCAUUUUUUUACAGAUCAGUGAUUAGCUAUCUAGCAACUUGUGUCAUGGAGGAGUGAUAUUUUUCUUCUUGGUAGGUGUUCUAGCAGCUACUUGUGACCUAGAGGGUCAAGUCAUGUUCCAUUGAUGAGUCGGUCUUCACAUUCUUGUUUAUAAACUAUUGAACAUGUUUUGACUAUGAAACCAUUGGAUGGCAUUAUACUUGUAUGGAUUUGUCACGACCCGGAACCUCCCUCGGGCCCAUGACAACCGUCGCGACAUCUCGAUUGACACUCAUUGCCCGGAAUGCCAAUCGGAACUCCGCAAGGCUUACAUAUCAGUUUCUUGCCUUACCUUUAUUUGCUAGUGCCUACUAACUUAUUAUGAAUGUGAUGAUGUAUGGAGCCUUAGGUGCUAAGUUGGGUAGGCAUUGAAUCUCUUUAGUCUUAGUGGUCAGUGUUCGGCAAGUUAUAUUUUGAAUCAAAUUUUGAAUUUAUUUUAAAAAAAGAUAAAAUACUAAUAGUAACUUUUCUAAUGAGAAAAGAGAAGGAAGAAUGCCGCUCUCCAUUAUCUAAUGAGGACAACCUUUUACAUCAUUAGUAACUAUAAAUAAAUUAAUAUUUGACAAGUCAUGGACUUCCCCUCUCCUCAACCGCAUAGAUGUUGAAAUUCUCGUCAUGAUGAACAAAUUUUGCUUUUUUCUUUUUGCUCCUAAUGUAGUGUUGAAACAAGACUUUGUUUUUCAAUCUCUCCCAGUAUACCUAUUUAUGGGAUGUUGUUCUAUACAUGGCAUCAUAAGCAUUAGCUGAAACCAAGACUAGAAAAUGAACAUGAAUGAUAUCAACUUCCACUUAAAGAGCCAUUUCUCUAGUUUUUUCCUAUAAUAUCUGAGCAGAAAGUAUUAGCAGAUCCACCACCUCAAACCUUGUAGUAAAAACUAAAUCUAUUUUCUCACUACUCGAAUCUUAAAAAAUAUGACCUAGCUCAUUACCCAUAUUUUCUAUAAUUGUUUGUUUGUGGAGCAUAACCAUAGAUAGGAUAGAAUGUUGAAAGGAAUUCUUGUGGUUAACUAUACUAUUUAGAUAUUAAAGAUAGAGCUAUAUAACCAUUUUAUUAGUGGAAAUUAUAAGGUUUUAUUGUCUUUUUUGUAAAAGUUUAACAUCGUUAAACCUUUCUGGGAACAGAACUAAAACACAAAAUUUUACACGAAGAAAAAAAUAACCUUAAAGUGCUAUGCGAGAAAACAUUAUACUGCAAGGGAUUUGUUUGAAGUUUACUUUUAUUAUUAUUAUUAUAUACUUUUACUUGGUUGUCAUAUGAUAUAUCAAUUUACUAACCUACAAAGCAAAUAACUAAAACAACCAACAUUCAACCCAAUAAUCCAUAAGCUCUAAUAUCUAUUAUUAUGGGUCAUAACCCUUACUUAACUUGGGCUUAACUUGGCUCAAGGUUCGACAAGCUCUCCUCUUGCAUAUGGGCUUGCUUUGGUCCUCUUCAUUUAGUCCAUGUUCAAAAAGCCCAAUAGUAAUACAAGCCUAUUUCUUCUUCCUCAUGUGGGCUUACUUUAGAUACUUAAACAAAUGACACAGGCCUGUUUUAAAGCAACCCAAUAUUCUAUUUUCCAAGCGGUGCCAAAGACACAGGCUUGCUUUACCCUCGCCAAGGCCCGCAUAAAUGUAGGACCUUCCUACUCAAAACAUCGCCGUUCAACAGCCUUUUGCUUCUUUCUUCCGAUUAAUUAUACUAUGCCAUUUUGAGGACAAUGUAACCCUAGGCAUAAAAACAACAUAUUUUGCCCAUUUGGGUACUUUUCUUUUAAAACCAAAUCAAACAAACCUAUCUUAUUCUACCCACAUUGCUUUUUCCUUUCUUAGUUGCAUGCCUUUUUUUUUCUUUCUACGGAGAGCAUUAGUAACCAAUCACCAUGUCCUCCAUCGAACGACAUCACCAACACCACAAUAACCUUUAACAAACACUUUGACCUCUUUUUUCCUCAUCAUUUUCCUAAGCUAGAGACCCAAAAGCAAAAAGAAACCUCUAACUCUAACUUAAACCACUAAAACCCUCACCUCAAAACCAUCAACUGAAGCCAACUCUUUUACUUUUUCUAGGGUUUUCUUUGUUUGAGGCUUUUUAUCUCUCUGAAAAAAAACCUUUGUUCAAGGAAGAGGGUGGCUUUUAUAGUUGCCCUCCUCGGUUGUUGGUAGACAUGUCGCCUGUUAGGUGUGAUUAUUACACUUGGUCGAUUACGACGUAACAGGCUCUUUGCCAGGCGUGGGCAUAUUUUGCCUAGUAGUCCUCGAUCGACAUUCUCUCUCCUUGCUCCACUACUUGCUUGUGAGUUUGCACAAAUGUUUUUUCCUUUUUCUUUUCUUUUUCUAUUGAUGUUUUUAGUAUGAUAUUUCUUAAGUGUUAAUAUUUGGGAUGAAAAUGCAUGGCCAAAAGAGGCAAUGGUCGCAGAAGAGGUGGUGUCCUUUGUGGUCUAUGAAGUUGUUGCCAAACUUGUAUUUUUUUAACUUUUCUCCUCUUUUUUCUUUUUUUCUUUCAAAUUUACUAAUUUUGGGUUUAAUGACAUGUGGGAUUUAAAAAUCUAAAAGUCUUCCUAAUUUUAAGUUAAAUGAAUAGUCUUUAGACCUCUAAAGCUCAAAGGAACCUAGCCUAAUGGGUCCAGAACUUAAAUGUAAAACCAAAAAAAAAAAUAUAUUAAGAGUAAGAGAGUGAAAUGAAAUAAAAUAAAAUAAAAUAAUAAUGAUUAUUCAAAGGUUAAAAAUGUGUAAAUUGCCCUAGGAAAAAAUGGGUGUCUACUUAAUUGAAACUAAAGUUGUGUAGAAGAUUAUAGUGCAAUGGAAGUUGAAAACAAUUGAAAAUUUUGUGAAAAUAGAGUAAAAGGAAUGUUCUAUACUUGAAGUAUCAAUACUUAUUUAUGGAGUAUGGAUAAUUUUAGUCCAAAAUGCUAUCUGGACUGUAAAAUUGAUACUUUCUACAUAAAAUGCUUCUUGGGCAUUUUGUUUGCUAAGUAUGGAUACUUGUUAUUCAAGUAUCGAUACUUCUUAUAAAACCUAGAUUUUUAGGCACUCUUUUGCACUUUUUAAUUCUACUUCACAUCCUAUACUUAAAAACAUCAUAUAGCUUAUGAUUUCACUUGGACUCAACCAUAAAACAUCAUUCCUCAAAGACUUAACACGUGAUUCACAUUCAUAACUUAUAUAUUAGUCUUUCCUUAUAUCUAACAUAUCUACUCAUAAUAAAUUCAUUUUUAGCUUUACAAUUGAUCUUAUUUUGAAACGACAAAAUGAAAUCAUUAAAAAUGCAAAAUGAAAAUGAUUAAAACACUUCAAAACUUUUUGAAUAUCCAUGUAAAUUUUAGCUAAGUGUUUUAGAAGCUUGGAAAGCUUAAAAAAAAAAUUUUAAAUAGCCUUUCAAGGCAUAAGUAUUGAGACUUAUCCAACCCGAAAGCAAAUUAGCAAAAGCUCAAAGCAAAUGUAUCGAGGCAUCACUUUAAUGUAUCAAGACUUAAUCAACUUAAGAGCAAAAUUGAAGAAACAAAAGAGCAAAGUAUCGAGACAUGUGUUGGAAGUAAUGAGACUUUGGAAGAUAGAAGCAUUUUGAUUAAAGAGGUAUCGAGACGUACUGAAGAAGUAUUGAGACAUAAGCAAACAAAAACAUUUUGUUUGACAAGGUAUUGAGACCUCACUUGCAAGAAUUAAGACAUGAGGAAAUAGAAGCAUUUUGUGUAUUGAAGUAUCGAGACCUCACUUACAAGUAUUGAGACUUGAGAAGUCAAAAGCAUUUUGUGUGACGAAUUAUCGAGACCAUACUUGGAUGUAUUGAGAUAUCAUUUAAUGGAAAAAGGGCAAUAUAUAAUAAGUAUCGAGACUUCCAUUGAAGGUAUCGAGACUUGGCCUUUUUCAGGAAAAAGUAUCAAGAUUUCAAGGAAGGUAUCAAGGCUUAUCGCAUGAUCAGUGGUUGUAAUGACUAGUUUUACAUUUAAUGAAGCUUCAACGGCUCAUACAUAUUAGAGAGGUAUAAAUUGAUGUCUUCAGCACAUUAUGACCAAGAGAAGCUUUUGAAAAUAUUCCAAAAGAAACAGAAUCACUUCAACAACUAAAAAUCAUUAUUCUUUCUUGCUUAAGCUUUAAAUUCCUUUUCUCUCAUAUUGAUUAGAGCCUAAAUUCUAUCUACCCUUUAUAUACAUUUAAAGCCCUUCAUACCCAUUUAACUAACUAGCCUUUUAGAGGCAUCUCAGCUCUUUGUUCAUUUUCCAUUGUAAUCAUUUCAAGGUUAUACCUUAACCGCUAAACGGUAGUGUUGUGCGGUUAUACCUUAACUAAGUGAAAAUGUAGAGAGGUUCAAUCUUAUCCUUGAAAAGAUUAUUAUGAAGGUUGUACUUGAACCUUAAAAGACAUUUUUAUAGUGGAUUCAAAACUCUUUAGUGAAGUUAAUGGAAAAGAUGUGGGCAAAGGAGCUGAACCUCUAUAAAAAUACUUGUGUUUUUGGUUCUUAUUUUCUUAUCAAGGUUCUUAGCAUUUUAAACUUAAUUCAAACAUAAGGUUUCACUACUCAAAUUGUUUUACAAGAAGAAACAUUUUUGUAGGGAAAUUUUUGUUUUUAUCAAAUUAGCAAAGAUUUUCAAAGAAGUCAAUUCACCCUCUCUUGAACUUUCACACUUUGACCUUAUUGCAUGAACAUUCAUCAUGAAGCCUACCAAGGACAAUGGCACAAUCCCCACUAUUUAGGAUAAUUGAGGAUAACGCUAUCUAGGAUAACCAAAAAUAAUAGUACAGUCCCCAUGAUCUUGGACAAUUGAGGAUAAUGGUACAAUCCUCACUAUCUUGGAUACGAAUUAAGUGGUGUUUUGCCUCAACUCAUUGCUAUGUAUAGCUAUGUGUGGUACAAUUCCCACUUCAACGCCCAUAUAAACAUAUAGGGUUUAACAUUUUCAUAACUUGUAACAUCAUAAACUUAUCAUAAUAUUUCAUUAUAGCUCAUAAUCAUAAUCAUACUAAUCUCAUCUUGUACGUGGUAUUACUUCACAUACUAAACUGAUGAUCAUUCUUUACAUUCUCAUGUGUGUAUCAUAUGUAUGUUUCAUAAUCAUAUGGGUGGAAAUGCAUAAAUCCACCUAGGCAUUUCAUUUAGACAUACUUGCAUUUCAUACUCAAACAUACUAUCAUGGAUUCAUUUUGAAGGAAACCAUUUGAAAGGACUUGUCCCUCCUUGUUAAAAGAAAAAAAUUAGUAGAGAUAUUUACAUACGAAUAUAGAUUCGAAAAUGUCUUUAUGAAACAUUGAAUUUAGACAUAAUAUAACCCCCUCAAUAUCAAUAUACUCCUUGCUUUGUGCCUCAAAUGUUGUCACUAAGCAUGGAAGAAAUAAACUCCAUCUCUAUGCAGAGUGCGGGCCAUACCUACCACUAAUAAAUAUAUUCAUUUUAUUACGGCAUCACCCAUCCUUUGCUUCUCCUUAUGUAAAAUUAUGGAUUUUUUUUAAAAAUUAAUAAAUAUCCAUGAAAUUACCAAAAAAAAUGUUGAUUCAAUUGAUUAUUUUGUUUGUUUCAAGCACAAGUGAUCUCUUGUUGGGACUAUUUAAAAUCUAAACACUCGACAAAAUGAGUAGAGAAACUACACAUAUAUGUCCUAACCUAAGAGUUGAAGAAGUAGUUAUUGCCCAAAUUUUUGAAAAAAAAUCAUUUAAUUACUAUUUAUUAGCUCUAUCAAAUUGAUAGUAUCCGAACAAUUUUAUUGCUUCAAUAAAAUAGCACCAAGUUUUUUUUUUUUGAGUUCUUUUUCAAAAUGGGCUCCAUGCAUAAGGCCUUUCUGAGAAUAGGCUUCCCCAUAAUUUUAACUGUUUUAGCCAAGAGAAAUAAAAUUUGGACAAAAUUGUCUUUAAUGAAACCAACCCAUUCGUUUGGUUUCGCGCCUCAACCUAAAACCUAUUAAUGGUCAAGUAUGUUUAUACGGUCCAUAACUCUUCAGUUCUCAUCGACAGACUGUACAUCUCCUCAGAAGCAAUUAUGUCGAAGGCAUUCCUUGCCAGUUCAACUUUCGAGCAUUUUCGCAAUGAUAGGAGCAUUUUGGAGUGGUUAUUAUUUGCAUAAAGGUAGUUCACAUAUUGAGCAGUGAAAAAUAAAAUAAAAAAAUAUUAUUCUUCUUGUUUAGGGUUUAGGUUUUUGAGCAUAAACUUAUACAUAUUGCUUGUUCAUAUUGAUAUUCUUGUUGUUUGAAAUUAUUGAAUAUAAACAUGAAGGUGGUAUUGUUGGUGUUGUUGGGGUCGAAAGGUGAUCGAGCAUGCGUGACUGGUUGAUAUGUAUGCGUUAUAACCCUUUGAUAAGAAUUAGGUUGAGAGUUUAGAUAUUGCGUGACUGAGGGCUUGCUUACGUGUUGUGCGUGACUAGAUUUUGGCAUGGGGUCACUUAGGGUGUGUGUGAUUGCAUUAGGGUUUAACAUUACGUGAGUGUUUUAUAUGUGAAUGCGUGACAUAUUAAUAAGUCAUUGCAUUACAGCAUGACUAGAUUUUGGCAUGGGGUUAAGGUGUGCAUGAUUGCUUUAGGGUUGAACAUUGCGUGAUUGGUUGAUAGGUCAUUGCGUUACCUAUUGAUAAAUCAUUGCGUGACAGCAUGACUAGAUUGAGGCAUGGCAUCACUUAUACUCUGCAUGAUUGCGUAAGGGUUUAACAUUGCGUGAUUGAUUGAUAGGUCUUUGCGUGACUGGUUUAUAGGUUAUUGAGUGAAUAUUAUUCAGGCAUGGCGUCACUUAGUGUGUGUGUAUGUGAUUCAAUUAGUUGUUCUUAGUAUUGCGUGACUUAUUUAUAGAUCAUUGCAUGAUUUAAUGUUAGUAAUUACGUGACUAAUUGAAAAGGUAUUGCGUGACUAUUUUUGUAUGAAAUUGCACGAGUGUCAUAACUGCAUGAAAUUUAUCUGUAUGGCAUUGCAUGACCAACAUUGGGUUAAUUUUGUAUUAUUUUGAGUCAACUGUAAUUCUUUAAUAUGUAUAUGUUGAUUUACUUAAUAAUCCAUGCUUGACACUUACAUUAUUAUUCUGUUUCAGGACUGUCUAAAAACAGUUAAAAUUAUUGAGAGGGUUAUUUUUGGAGUGAGAUUCUGAGGAGGGCUAUUUCUCAGAAAUUCUUUUUGUUUUUUUGUUAAUCUACAAUGAUGGUAUUAACAUGACUAAAAUGGGAAUGUUAUCUGUUCUAUGUUGCGGAUGGCUAGCACAGGAAUAGAGUAGGGUAAUGUGGAAUCUUUGCUUUGUGUGCCAAGGCACCGGUUGGGGGUUCAACACUGGCAUUAAUAUUCAUUGUAAAUGGUCCCAUCUACAUGUGAUACGUGAGAUGCUGUCCAAAGUAAAUGAGUUGGAAAGCUCGAAGAGAACAUGCUUUGGGCAUAUGAUGACGUCCAAUCAGAGAAGAGUUUAUUCUGCGCCAGUCUCAUGCACAACCUAAUGCUACGCAGAAUCAAUGAACCCGACGCCAUCGAGGGUGAGUUAUGGUUUGCCAUAGGCAGAACGAAGGCUUGAUUUUCGAAGAGGGAGUUCUGCCUGGUGACAAGACUGAAGUUUGGUGCCCUACUGGCCCUUAUUGUCAAUCCCUAUGAGGCCAUCCCUGGAGGAAUUCACCUAUGAUAUUAGAGACAAGGGAACGAGGUGAAGAUACAAGAAGUUUUAGAGACGUUCAAGGGAGGGCAGUUUCAGCAAGAAGGAGAUGCGACCAAGAUGGCCCUCGUCUUGAUGGUGAGCAAUGUUUUAUUCAAUCAAGAUUACAGACGAUUAGUGAUUCCAUGGUUGUUAUCGCUGGUUGAGAACAUCGAAGAUUGGAAUGCGUUCCCAUGGGGUACAUAUGUUUGGAGUUUGACUGGCAAUUACUUGAUGAAGGAUUUCAAACCUCCAACAAUGGGAGUAGUAGAGAAGAAACGUUACCACCUCUACGAAUUUAUAUGGGUGUUUCAGGUAGUGUGCCAUACCCUAAUAUUUAUCAUUAUUCUUCUCGCAUAAGAUUUUAUGAUGUGAAUUCUUUUUGCAUAAGAUUUUAUGUGGUGAGUAAAAUAUGUUUCACAAUUGAUGUGUAGUUUUGUCCGUUGGAAGCAAUUCCUGUAAUUCGAAGCUUGUUUGGAAGGCAGCGUCAGUCUGGAGAGGUUUGCCCGAGAAUGCAAAAAUGACAGUGUGACGAGAGGCUUGUAGGCUUCCACGCUAAUAUUGCAAGUUUGGAGAAAGAAGGCAAGGUGAGUAAAGAAACCAUAUUUUUUUAUUUUAUUAAAUUUUAUUUUUAUUGUCAUAAGGUAGCGAGGGUUAAACCUAAUGGCAAAUGUAUGUUAUGGUGCAGUUGUUUGUAGUCAAGAUGUUGGAGCCAACUGCAGAAGAGAUGUUGACCGCAUAUUGGGUCGACAUUGAAGUCAAUAUCUCUAAAGGCAGUAAUACAUUCCAUUAUGGAAGUUGAAGGGUUGGUCAAAAUUUGGUCCUAACAAAAGAGGAAGAUAAUGGACCGCAAAGGAAAAAGUACGGUAGGACAAGGUGUUAAGCGAAGACGCACCAUGGACUAAGAGGUCUAUUCCCAGUUCGCUGCUGUUGAGGCCCCGGGUGCUACUGAGGCACCUAAUUCUCCUAUUGUGGCUCUUCAUGCUGUUUUUUCUACUACUCCUCAUGCUGCUACUUCUGCUGCAAUUGCCAUGACUCCUCACGUUGCUCCUUCUCUUGCUUUUACUACUACCCCUCAUGCUUAGGCUCGCGACUUGCCACUACAUUUGUAAAUGACUAAGAGCAUUAAGUGAGAGCUGCAACAAAUGCAGACACAAUGGAAGAAAGACUUACAGUCAUUGUAGAUGAAUAUGCAGAUGGACAUGCAAAUGCAGAUGCAGUCAUUGCGGACAGAGGUUGAUCGAGACAUGCAAAUGCAUAUGUAUGCAAUGCAGUUGAAGAUCCAACGAGCAAUGUUGAUGCAGUCACUGCAUCUGCAUAUCCAGUAGUCAUUGCAAGGGCUAGAGGAUCGGAUUAUUGGUCGGCUAAUCGAUCGUUAUGAGGUAAGAGCUAUUAUCUUUUUCAUUGCGUUAGUUAUAACAUGUACGAUGUAUACACUGUUCUAAUGUGUUUGAUUUUUUCAACUGUUUAGGGUCGAUUGAUGGGUGAAAAGAAUGGUGCAUGCGACAAAGAGGGUAGAGGAACUGGGGUUGAUCUUGACGAUGCAGGUGGCAUAAAUCAGUCAAUUGCAUUGGCUCGAAGCUCACCUCUCGCUGCCCCGAUCAAACAUCAUCCUACUAGUAGUCCAACUACAACUUCCCCACACCCUGCUUCUAUCCCAUAUCCACUAGAGGCCCCUCAGCAUUGUCAGCUCACAUCUUCUCUUGAGGUUCCACCUCCAUCUCAAGUCGAAGAGGCACCUCAUCUUGCGAGUAGUCGAACUAUAAGUUCCCGCAUCAUGCUCCUAUCCCAACUCCACUAGAGGCACCCCUGCAAGGUGAGAUCACACCUUUUCUUAAGGCUCCACCUCGACCUUAGGUUGAAGAUGCAUGUGUGAGCUUAGCCAGUAAAUACCUUCGAAACCCAUACGUUAACCCACUAUUAGUCCAGCACAAAGCGAAAAAUGAUUUGAAGAACAAAUAUGAGUCUUUCGUGAAAAACGAGCAAGACAGGUAAAAUGAUAACAGUACAUGAUAUUAGGGUUAACAAUUUUAGGGUAUUUAUUUCAUAGACCUUUUGAUGUAGUUAUCAUAAAUAUGCAGGGUUAACAUUCUGGGCAUUGAAGGAAAAGAGAGCCCUGAUUUUUUUUGGCUAUUGGAGAUGCCGACUGAGUUGUUGGAUAACCAACACAUUGAUGCAUGCAUCAACGUCUUGUGUAAGCAAGCGCAUGAGUACCAUCCACAACUCUACAAGCAGAGAAUAUGCAUCGUUGACAACUACUUCUAUGUAAGUAUAUUAUAUUUUAAUGAGUUGUAAUUAUUUAUUCAAAUGUAUGGGGUGUGUAUUAGUUAAUGGCAUCUAACUAUUAUACGUAACGUAAUUGACAGCUUAUUUUGUUGGCUCCGAGCUAAGAAAUGAAGCCUCCCCUAACCGAUAAGACAUUUAAGGCAAGUAAAGCGGUAAUGCCAUACCAUGUGCUUGAGUAUGCAAGGGAGGGAGUCCUCCGUGGGGUUUGCCAUGGCACAAGGUUGACUCAAUUCUCAUAUCGUCCUAUUUCGACGACCAUUAGGUGGUAGUGCACAUCAACUUGCUGAAUUAGAGUAUGACAUUAGUCGACUCAUCAUACAGUAAGACAGAUGCACUUAAGUCUAGCUUGCAUGAUAAGCAGAUGAGUCCACUAACAACAUUGUUUCCCAUUAUAUGCCACUAGGACAGGUACUUUGUUAGCUCGCGUCAUCAAGAGCGACCUUUGAUGAGGAUGAGAUAUAAGUUAAAUGCAAAAACCCAGAUACAUCAAGAUUUGCACAGUUACGAGGAUUGGGUUAUCACCUCAUUGCAGUUGUUGAUCAGUUUGGAGGAUCAUACCUUGAAGGCAAAUGCCAUAAACAACCUUCAAAAAAAGUUUGCCCUAGAGAUUUUUACAAAUAACAUCACUUGUUAAAUUUUUUAAUUUGUUUAUUCUUUUUCAAUAUGUAAAUAACAUUGUUCUGUAUCAUGUCCAUAUUAUUCUUUGUUGUAUCAUUUACAUAUUUUUCUUUUUUGUAUCCUUUAACAAAAAAGAAAAAGAGCAAUAAGAACAGUUCGAUAUUCAUUGAUGUGAUAAGCAUACGGGUUCAAUAACAACAACAUUGUUUUUUUUAUUCAUAUAUUAAAUUUUGUUAGUAGUUUAUACAAUUUACAUGCCAGCUUUCAUGAGUUUGCAUAUGCCAACCCCCUUGCUUUAUAGCCUAUAUGACAUGUUGAAUUGUAUUACGUGACAUAGAGUUGUAACAAGUUGAUACUGAACUGCAUGAAUAGUGGAUGUGGAAUUGUGUCACCAGUUGAUAUUGAUUCGCGCGAGUAUUUGAUAUGGAAACACACUACUACUAAAUUUUGAAUCACGUGACUAGUUAAUAUGGAAUCACGUGACUAAUCGAUUUGGAAUCGCGUGACUUGUAAAUAUGGAGUCAUGUGAACCGUUAAGAUUUAGAAUCGUGUGAGUAGUUAAUAUUGAGUCACGUGAGUAGUAAAUAUGGAGUGACGUUACUAGUUAUUAUGGAAUCGCAUGACUAGUUAUUAUGGAAUCGUGUGACUAGUUGAUAUUGAGUCGUGUGAGUAGUAUAUAUGGAGUGGCGUUACUAGUUAUUAUGGAAUCACGUGAGUAGUAAAUAUAGAGUCGUGUGACUGGUUAUUAUGGAAUCACGUGACUAGUUGUUGUUGAGUCGGGUGAGUAGUAUAUAUGGAGUGGCAUUACCACUUAUUAUGGAAUCGUGUGACUAGUUGUUAUGGAGUCGCGUGACUAGUUGAUAUGGGAUUAUGUGACUCACUUAUUAAGUGUCAAGUUGUUUGAAGAAGGGCAAGCCAAUUAUGAUGGACAAUAUCAAACCAUAACCCAACCCCAAGCACCAUCAUAACAAAAUAUCCAGUUGAAUACCUUAAACCCUCAACCAGAAGUAUGAGUAAACACAUGAAAGUUAAAGCACAUGUUGAGCGAAUUUAAAAAAACACAAUAUACCACAAAUUAUUUAGUAAACAAAUUAUAGUAUCCCUAAUCUAGUUAACCCACAACUCUCAAAAUAUGAAUCUUUAUAUGCUAUUCUUGACUCAGCUAGAACUAAUGGCAACUGACUUCCUUUUUCUCUGAGGUUCAUGUAAGAAAAACUCAUCUUAGGACUGUUUCUUUCGACCGUGCUUCUGCUACCUGAACAUCUAUAUAUGUUCUUUGCAUUAGAAAAUUCUUAACAUUCUGUAUCCUUAAUUCCAAUGUCUUCAUUCUAGUAGUUUGGUUACUAAGUUUUUCAUCAAUCCUCACAAGCAUAUUACACAUCACAUCAUUAGAAACAGGAUCUAGAAUAACUCUAGAUAGACCACUGGAUGGAGUAUCAUGGGCAAGAUGAACUGGGCUGCCUUCGACAGAGUUGAAUGGCUCAUUUUUUCAGGAGCCAUCCAAUAGAGAGAUUACGAGGCCUGUGAUUGGUCCAAUUAGCUAGAUAUCUAUUGCUCCAUAUCCCUUUCUUUUUAACUAGAGCCAAUAUGAUGUUUCCGUAUCGUAGGGUUGUUUUAUCCCUUAUGGCAACUCCUCUCAUUCUGAUGAUCAUAUAUUCUACAAUAUUCAAGCCAAACUAGGUUCUAAUUGAUUCCAUCAUUCACAAAUCCUCAGCGCUAACAUGUCUUAAACAAUUGAUCCUUCCUUGUAAUGCAAACGUCAAAAAAUUAUGUACCAGCCUAGCUGGUGCAAUAUUCAAAUGACGAGCAAAACAUAAAUUUAUCAUGUAUGGUUCUUUUUUGCCUGUCACAUUGGCCCAUAUGGCAGAUAGGUCAUAAAAUAGGGGAAGUUUGUAUUGUCCCUCUUUGUACUUCGUUUUCAGGAGCUUCUCAAUAUCAAAGGUAGUCACUGUAAACUUUAUUCCCUCCAAAAACAUGUUCGAAACAUUUGGGUUAAAAUCACUAAGAUUUUCAAAUUCAUUUUCACUCUAGCGUAUGCUGGAGUGAAAUUCCCUAACAAGAGUCGGGCUAUAAUCGAUAUAUGGAAAGGUACUUAGACCCUUAAGUUUACCCAUGUUGAAAAACAUAUCUAAGUCACCCUCAAGGUGUACGUUUUCCUUAAAGCUUUCCCAAUCUACCACUUUCCUGCACGAUGUGAUGGCAUUCUCUAUUACCUUAUACCUAGCAGCAUGUGCGUUGUUCCUAAACCGUGAGGAUGAUGACAAAGCAUUACCUAGUUCAAUGGAAAAAAUAAUUGAUGCGGCAGGCAGUUCAAGAGCUAGUUUCCAAUUCUUCUUUGAUCGUAGACUUGAGUAUUCAUCAUCACCCAUAAUUUGGUCGCCAUAGUCACCGACAUUGGGUCUACUAGAAAAUGCAACCAUUGCUUAAGACAGUGCAGGACGGUUCAGGUUUAAUGGUUUAACUUACAACUAGAGAUAGGUUUAAGAGCUUUUCGUUGAAUUAUGGGUUAGGGUUUAGGGUAUUAAGGAUACUAGAAGACAAAACAACACCGAGUUGAAUAAAUUUGGUUGUGUUUGGUAUAUUUUAAGGAAUGUGAUUGCUGGGAAUAUCACUUUGCAAUGUUUGGUAUAACUAGGGGAAGUGAUGAUUACAAAGAAUGUCAAUGUAAUUGCUAAGAGGAUUACAUUAUAGUAUAUGGGAAUAUCACUUUGCAACAUCAUUUGUAAAUUGGCAAAAUUACCCUUAUGUAUAAAAAACGUAUAAGUUGAAUAAACUUAAAAUUUUUAAUAUAAAAUUUGACUUUUCAAUAUUAAUACACUAAAAUAAUAAAUAAUCACAUUGAAAUAAAAGCAUUACAAAUUUUAAAUAAUUUUUAAAUUCUUAAAAUAUUAAUAAAAUUCAUAAAAACUUAUUAUUGGGUAAACUAAUUAAAAUUAAAAAUACUAAUGGUAUUUUUCGAAUUAUGACCUGAGUAAUAUGAAAAUAUUAUGCAAUAAUCAUGUUGUAUGACCUUCUUUUUAUCAAAAACUAACUUGUGAUACUUUUGCAUGAGUUAGAUGUGAAACAUUGUUCUUUGACCUCUACAUGAUAGCUUCUAUCAUACAAUCUGGAACAAAAUCUAUCGAUAGAUGUAGGCAUAUGUUGGAAGAUGAAACGGCAUGUAUCGAUAUAUUUAAAAUUUAUCGAUAGAUUAUUUGCUUACAGACUAGCCAUGUCGUUGCCCUGUUCUCAGCACCGAUGCCUACAAAACCCUCUCACCCUCAAAACCUCUAAAGUUCCUUGUAAAUUUGUUUGACCCUAAACUGUUUAAAGGGUUUCCUUGUCAACUUUCACCCACGAACUCACAAAUUAACCGAAUUCAUUUUUCGAUUCUGUCAAUUAAAUCAUUUACGUCAUCCUCUUUGACAUCUCUACCAAAUCGUUUUCCCUCAAAACACCUGAAGCCUCCAAAUUUCCUAAUUUCGAAAAAUGAGUCGCAAAGCUAAACGCACAAAGGUGACUCACAACAAUGGUUCAGGCAGCUUUGCUCGUGCAAAAACAUCCUUAGCCUCAGUAGUGAGUUCUUUUUUGUAAAAUUUCACUCAUCCAUCACAUGUUGAGAAAUUCAACACCAAUUUCGCCAAACGCAAGGUAAUGCCCGGACGUAUAAUUGACUUUGAUUAUUUAAAGUCUAUUGAUUUCCCAUACCUUGCAAACUUUGAAAAUUUUGGGUGGACACAUUAUUUACAAUUGAAUAAGAAAUACUAUGAGAAUUUGGUCUGAAUUUUUUACUUCAAUGCAACACAAAAAUAUGCUGAGUCAGAAUAAGUCAGCUAGUGAACCAUGACGAUACGUUUGUCACCCUCGUCAUGGGACAACGGAUCUUUGUUACUUAUAAGCUGAUAGAACGAGUCCUUCACCUUACUUCCCUUUAAGAAGAUCUUCGCUAUGUCUUUGAUAAUAGGAACCUUCGUUCAACGUUUAUCUACCCUCCACCAAAUGAGAGAGGCAGUACUAGUUGCACAAGGUUAUGUUUCUUUGAUCAAGUCUUGUACCUCAUCAUCACUCACACUAUCUGUCCUCACUGCUUGAACUACUCGACUAUCACCACAAAUGAACUUUGGUUCUUAUUCAACAUCAAAUUAAACUACUAUAUCAACCUUGCUAAAUUCAUCAUGGAUGACAUGCUCUAGACCAUUCAAGGUGGUAUCAAAAGCCUGCUUUACGGCAUGUUGAUCAAUGAGAUCAUAAACUACUUCAAAGUUGAGGCCCGUUUUGAUCUACCCAAAAACCAUGCUUUGUUCAAUCCUAUCGAUGAGCAUAGUAUUAAAAAGCUAGGUUUUGAGUUUAGAAACAAUAGUUGGGUGAGGAAGAGGGUAGUCAACAACCCCAAAUUUGAUGAGGAGGGGAAUGAGGGUGAGCUGAGUGCUCAUCCUAUGGGCCCGUCUACUGCUUAAUCUAGUGCACCAUUUCCACCAUAUUCAAUGUUGAGCAAGCUUUCACUAGACUCCUCUCAUUUAUGGAAACAAUGGACUCUAGGUUGACUGCCCGUAUGGAAUUGUUAGAGGUGCAGAAUCGUGAAAUGUUGCGACGCCAAAAAGACUUGGAGGUUCAAUUUCACUCUCAAGUCCCACCACUAUCUUGAGUUCUCAUUGCAGACAUCUGUUUUACUCAGUUUUUGGACUAUUCGAUUCGAUGGCUACCUGUGCAUCAGAUUUUGGUUGUAUUUACAAAUAUUUGUCUUUUUGACUCUAAUGUUUUUUGAUGUAUCGAGUACAUUUAACUAUUGUUGCUUUUAAUGUUUUUAUUUGAGUUUGUUUCACUUGAUUGAUUGUCUUUUGUGUAUCUUACACCCUUUAUGUGAUGGUUUAUCUGGACGCUGGUUUAUGAUGUUAUCAGCUGAUUUUUUACCUAGAUUGAAAUUUAUUUCUAUUCAGGCCCUUGAAAUGAAUUCUAUAGAUUUAGGGGUUGUUUUAGGCCCUUGCGUUUGAAAAAUAAUCAACAAUGCGCACCUCAAACUGUUUGAAAUUGUGAUCUAUCGAUAGGUGUUCAUCAUUUAUCGAUAUAUGUCAUCAUACAUCGAUAAAUUAACAACAUCUAUUGAUAUAUUCACAUUGCCAAAGAGUGAAGAGUGAAACUCAAAACCAUGAACAUCUAUCGAUUGAUUACUUAAUAUAUCGAUAUAAUCUUAAAGUAUUUUUAUUAGAACUGACUCAUAUAUUGAUAGUUCAUAGUAUCUCUUGAUAGUUUUCCACUCGCAAGCAAGUCAGUCGUAGUAGCUAUUGAUAGAUGACAACAUAUAUUGAUAGUUUUCCACUCGCAAGCAAGAUAGCCACGGUAGAUAUCGAUAGAUGACAACAUCUGUCGAUAGGUUAGAGAGCACUUGCUAAAAUAUUGAUAGAUCACGGUAUCUAUCGAUAGUUUUCCACCCGAAACCAAGGCAAUCGCAGUAUCUAUCGAUAGAUGUUGUCAUUUAUCGAUAGCUUACAGGAUGGUAGGGUAGCACUCUUUGCAUCUAUCGAUAGAUACAUGGUCAACCAGGACGAGGGUGGCAAGGUAUCUCUCAAUAGUUUGAAGACUAUCGAUAGAUAAAUAAUGCUUAUGAAAAUAUAUCGAUAUAUUUAUUAAUUUAUUGAUAGAGUUACGCAACUUUUAUAGAUGUUUAAAGACUAAACAUUACCCUAAACACCAUAUAAGCCCCCCCUAAACCAUAUACCCUAAACACACCUAAACACUACCCUAAACACCAUAUAAGCAAACCCUAAACCCUAAACUUGAACUAAACCAUCUUACAUAAGCCAUAAAACAAUUAUCCACCCUAAACUAUUAUUUUAAAUCUAAUAGGAAAGACACAAUUAUCCAUUUAUCCUUAACCCUUUCUUCCACUUCUUGACAAAAAAUCGUAAACCCUUCUACUUUAGCUAUCUCAACAAUGCUAUUAGUAUACAUAUUUUUCUAGGCAAAAAAUCAAGUAGCAGGCGAAAAUCAAUCAGCCAAAUAUUAUUAAAUAUUUUGUGCUUUAAUUUAAUUGUUUACAAAGAUAAACAAAUUAUGAAGGAGUACAAAAUGAUCCCACAAUAUUAUUUUAUGAGGCAUAUAUCUUGAUGCUAGUUGUUGUCAGACGUCAGAGUAUCAUCCUCAAACUCUAUCAAACUCAAGCUUAAAUAGUAUUAUUCAAUGCAAAUGUCAAUGGCUAGUUUGAAACAAUCCCUAACAAUUGACGUCUAAAGGGCCACUAUCUUUAAGUACGACACCUAUAACGUUUUCAGAAUUUCUAGUCCACAUUGGACAACCAUUUCGUGUGUGCUCGGGUUGUCAGCAAAUUGAACAUGCCUUGGGUCAUAGUUAUUGUCGAGCCAUCGAUUGAGUAGAUGAUGUUUCCUCGUUUAUCGAUGGACCUGCAAACUGAGUCUGAUAAUUUUGUCUAUUAUGACCAUAGCUUUUGCAUUGUGAACAUCUACGUCAUUGACUGCCUUCCCCAGUUGAUGGAAUCCUUUUCCUCUUAGGUUUUCCCACUUGACCUCACCAAAUUGGUGCCAAAAUGACAAUUUGUUGAACGUCAUAGGGGAUGUCCCACUCACUGGGAUGCCUAACCGAGCGAAUGGGAAUCGCAAAUCCCUCCACCAAAGACCAAGUCUUGUAAUAGUGUGAGUAGAAUUCAAUGGCUACCCGUUUGCACUUACUGCAAAGGCAAUGAAAUCACAGUUGGCAAACAAUGUAAAAAUUCAAUUUAUCAUGCACAAAAUAAGAAAACAUGAUUAUUCAUACCUUAUUGCCACCAUGGCAUGCGUGUAGGGGAGUAGAUUGAUCUGGAACUCAUUGCAUGAACAUGUCUUGGUGGAGAGGUUGACAACUGUGUCCUUGAUCCCACCUAUAACUUGAAACUCCACCCGAUCAAUUGGUUGUAUGGAAAAGUGACAUACUCCAUUGAACCGUGUGUUCAACAGAUCGGUAGCCUAAGGGCUGAGGGGCGUGGUCAAAUUCAAUGCUUCAUUGUGUCGGUCAUGGAACCAAUGUUGAAACAUGCCUUUAAUGCACUCGAUCAAGACGGUUAUUGGCAUUUUUCUUGCAUGCCUCAAACAAGAGUUAAUACACUCUGCAAUGUUUGAUGUCAUUAGCUUGUAUCGCCUUACUAGUGACCGUACACGUGCCCAUUUCUCAGGGCCUAAUCUCAUAAGGCUGUCAUAAGUAGGUUUGCAAAGUUGUUUCAGUUGAUUCAUAUAUCUGUUAAAAUCGACAAGCUUAUAGGAGUUGGUGGCCAAGGUGAAAAUCGUGGCAACAUUUUCACGCUUGAACCUAUUUUUAACAUUUUUCCCUCAAUAGUAAUUGCAUAGACCAUGAUGAGUAUCCUUGUACCCUUUCUCAACUGCAUUCUUAAUGCCAAGAUGCUGAUAAAAAAUGAACAGUGCAUUUUUAGGUCAACCAAUCGCACGACGCAAUUGGUUAAAAAACCACGACCAAGACUCUUCGUCCUCCACGUGGCUAAUGCCAAAUGUAACUGGGUAUAUUUGUUCAUUCUCAUCUUUGCAUAUCGCAACAAACAGAAUACCUUUGAAUCUGCCUUUCAGAUGUGUGCCAUCAAUAGCAACUACAGGCCACAUUACAACACUGAACCCCCGAAUACAUGAACUUGAACGCCUAGAAAUAAUAUUUGAAUCGUUGUUCUCCAUUCGUAGCGACACCCAUGACAGUACCGGGAUUUUCAUGUUCUAAUAUAUGGAAAUAAAAGGGGAAGAGUUGGAAUGACUCUUUCGAGGGACCAAACACAAGACUCUCCACAUAAUCCUUCACUUACCAUAUAGGCAUUGCAAUCCCCACUUGUGAUUCAUCUCUUCCAUUAUUUCUUUUUGUCUCAAUGGGGUUACAUAAUUUCCUUGCACCCUGGUGGAGAUAAGCUCACCAAUUAACCUCGCACUUGCAGUUUGGUACCCACAUUGCAAACCAUCAACAGUACAUGUAUGUACCUUUUGGAAUGCCUGAAGUUGCCAAUAUUCUCCCUUAGGCAACUUCGUUGCACGCAAAGCAAACUUGCAUGCCUUCUCCUUACAACCAACCUCAAAGUAAGCGUGACAUGACUUUUUAACUCUAACCUCAAAAUGCUCUUUUAGUGCCAACAUGGUCAACACUCGUUUCAAUUCAACCUUCGAUGGAAACACUUUUCCAUGAUAUAUGUGGUCGUCCAUUGAUGUUUCGAAAGAUAUCAUAUCUAUCCAGAGAAUAAUCCAUUGAUGAGAUACCCCUGUAUUUACUCUUUCUUGAUCAUUGUCAUCAGGUGAACGAAUGUUGUUCUCAAGUGCGAUGACGUUCUCGUAAAUAGGGUCGGCACCCUCAACAUCUUCUAAUUCAACAGUUGUGGCAUGGUCAUCGAAUUCAACCUCUUCUAACAAAACAGUUAUGGCAUGACCUGUACUGUCAUCUGCAUGAUUACAAUCCUAAAUGUUGGUGUGCUCACCCCUAUCAUCUUCUGAACAGUUAUCAUGUCUGCCAACGUAAUCAUCUUCACAGUCAUCAUGCAACUCAUCGUUCCAAUCCACCGUGUCAUCCUCUUCAAUAUCAUCUUCAAUCAAAUCAGAUGCAUCUUCAAUAUCAUCUUCAAUAUCAUUUACAUUUCAUGCCUUAACUGUCACAAACACAACAACUGCCCUCUAAUCUCGCAGAAUACUUGCUACGUCUUCAUUACCCUUGAUAACUGCACGCGAAACCCUUGCGGCAUGACUGAGCGAUGCAUGUAACUCAAUUUCAUUAUUAUGUGAGUUGACCCCAACAACCUCUUCAACCAGCGUCACUAGGCCCCGAAAAUGACAAAUCACUCCCAACACCCCUCACUCGAGUCUCACCACCCUUGUAAGUGUCAUCAAUGUAAUGACCACCGUAUGUAAUCAUAAGCUUCACAUUUGGCAGGCCACUGAAAUUUAACAGAAAAUAAGUGUCACAAUCAGUCAAUUUAUUAAAAAUUACCCUUCAAUGCAUAAAAACUACUUACGCAAUGUCUAAGUCACAUUUGGCAGGCCGUUGACAUUUAACAGAAAAUAAGUGUCGCAAUGUCUAAUACACAUUCAUGCAAUGCCUAAAAACUAGUGAACAAAAGCCUCAAAACAAGAGAUAAAUUGCACAAGUCAGUCACGCACCGCCAGUCUUGCAAUACCUAAGAAUAAGUCACUCAAUGCCUUAUACCCACUCACAUUAUGCCAACAUAACCAGUCACGUACUAGCCCAAUGUCAUAUAAUACAUAAAAAUCAAUCACUCAAACCCUCAAAACUAGUGAACAAAAGUCUCAAAACAAGAGAUGAAUUUCACAAGUCACGCACUGCCAGUCUCACAAUACCUAACAAUAAGUUACUCAAUGUGUAAUAUCCACUCACAUUAUGCCAACAUAACUAGUCACGUAAUGGCCCAAUGUCACGCAAUACAUAACAAUAGGUCAUGCAAUACAUAAAAAUUAAUCACGUAAUGUCUAAAAAAUAGUGAACAAAAGCCUCAAAAUAAGAUGAAUUGCGCAAGUCACACACCUCUAAUCUUACAAUACCUAAUAGUAAGUCACUCGAUGCCUAAUAUCCACUCACAUUAUGCCAACAUAACCAGUCACGUACUGGCUCAACGUCACACAAUACAUAACAACAAGUCACCAUAUACAUACAAACAAGUCACGUAAUGUCUCAACAGAAUAUAUGCAUUGCACAAUUCACGCAACGCCUAUAACCUAGUCUUGCAAUACCUAAUAAUAGGUCACGUAAUGCCCAACAUCCACUCACGUUUGCUUCUCUUAUAUAAAUAGAAUAUAAAAUUACAAAAUUAGGGUAAGUAACCAAGUUAUUCAGCAUAAUACAACUUAAACUUAAACCAAGAAAAUAUGAGAUCAAUGAAAAUUUAAAUUUUAUUCAUUAGUCGAAACAAAAGGAGAUGAUACAAAAAAAAAAUGAACCAUAGUUGGUUCAUUUCUUUCAAUUUGAUAUACUAUUUCAUAAAUUUUGGCCAAAAUCUUGUUAUUGCCCAGGAUUUCUAUCUCCAGGACUUUUGUCCUGACUAGUAGGUUAUCCAUCAGGGCAUGCAUCUCUUGUUCCAUUUUCUUGACUUGCUCCCUCAGGGUCCACAUCUCCAAGAUAUCCUCCUCGGCCGCUACCCCAUUCCUAAUGUCUUUUCUCGAAUCUUUGGAUGCCAUUUCAAUUUUUUGAUUUUGCUUUAGAUUAUUUUGAUUAAAAUGGAUAAUGGUUCCCUUUAUUUAUACGCAUGAACACUAACUCUUCAUUUUCUGCACUGAUAUAAGUGUAAUUAAGGGGAGCUGAAUUGGUUAUUAAGUGCCUGUUCAACCUGGGUUUUUUUAUAGCUUAUCUACCUCUUAAAAGCAAAAGCUAGGCUAAACAUGAUUUUUUGAGAAAUUCUUAAAAAAAAGUACUUUUUUUUAAGAACCAAAUUCUUGAAAAAAGAGCUUAAAGAAAAGCUCAAAGGAAGAGUUUUCUCUUCUAUUCUUUUAAAGACAUAUUAUUAUUUUUUCAAAAAAUAUCCCUCUCCUCUUAUUCCCUCUGUAAAUUACCAUUUUUCAACGUAAAUCACGAUUUGGCCAAAUCUCUACAACAUUUAUACAACAUUGUAGGCCUUGGCCAAAUCUCAACUGCCUCUAUCUUUCAAGGAUCAACUUGCACUCGCCGUUUAGAUAUAACAUGCCCUAGAAAGCUAACUUCACUAAGCCAAAAUUCACAUUUUUCAAACUUCACAUAUAGCUAAUGCUUUCAAGGGUUUACAGCACAAUUCUUAAGUGUUGUGCAUGUUCUUCCAAGCUAUUGGAGUACACCAAUAUAUUAUCUAUAAACACAACGAUAAAUUUAUCCAUGCAUGCUUAAAAAACUUUAUUCAUUAAAUCCAUGAAAACUGCAAAGGCAUUAAUGAGUCCAAACGAUAUCACUAAAAACUUUUAGUGUUCGUAGCAUAUGCGAAAUACGGUCUUAAGUAUAUCACUCUUUUUUAUUCUUAGCUGGUGAUAUCCAGAGUGCAAAUCAAUCUUUGAAAAGUGUAGUGGAUACUUAUUCUUUAUUGUAACUUUAUUAAUUUCCCAAUGGUCUGUACAUAAUCUUAAGCUCCCAUCUUUCUUUUUCACAAAUAACAUCGGAGCUUCUUAAGGCAAAACACUCUAGUGGAUGAAGCCCUUAUUCAACAAACCAUUUAAUUGCCCUUGGAGUUCUCUCAGCUUAAUCGGCACAAUGCGAUAUGGGUGUAUUGAGAUAAGUCUUGUAUUUAGAGCUAAGUCAAUGUAGAAUUCAAUCUCCCUCUUAGGAGGUAAUCCAAGUAAUUCAUCUAGAAAUACAUCAACAUACUCACCAACUAUCGAUACUGAUUCCAAACUCCUUUCAUUCAUUUGAUCAUUUACUAUCAUGGUUUGAUACUUUUGGCAAUCUUGUCCUGACGCUCGCUCCAUGGCCAGAGUAACCAUAACCUCAUAUGAUAUUGGGCCAUUGUGCCCAUAAAGUACAAAUGAUGAUUCCUCUGGAAACUUGAACUUCAAUAACUUUUGGUGGUAAUCUACCUUGGCAAAGUAGGAUGCUAAUCAAUCCAUUCCCAAUAUCACAUCAAAGUCUAACGCCAUUAGCAGCACCAAAUCUAUCAGAGUGUCCUUGUCCUUGAUACGGACCACAGGACUUAAACACAUAUUCUUCCAUAAAUACUUAUUCUAAAAUGGUGGUCACAAUUAAGGGCUCUUCCAUUUUACAACAAUACAAAUUCAAUUUUGACAUAAACUGAGGUGACAUGAAUGAAUGUGUCGAUCUGGGGUUCAAUAAUACUAAAGCUUAACUACCACAAACACAACCUGUAACUAUUGCAUUGGAAGCUUGAGCUCACAUGGUGUUAAAGUAAACUAUCUUGCCUGACCACCUCCAACACUACCCUGUUACUCUAUUUUACCUCGAGAUGAUAUGGCUAUUCCCUUACCCUUGUCUUUUUUGACAUCUUUUGUAGAGGGUGUUGCCUUAUGUGGUGUAGUUUUUAUGGAUUUCAUAUAGCCAUGAUUAUCUCCCAUUGACUGUUUGGGCCUUGGACAAUCUUUCAUCAUAUGUCUUCACUGCCCACAUCUAAAACAUAACCUUAUUGAUCUAAGGAAUGGCCCACCAUGUGCCUUGCCACAAUUAUUACAUAAGACAUCCCUUUGUCUGCGGCCCAAAUUUAAUGCUCCACUGAAUAGCUCUCGCCUUCCUAAAGGGCUAAAAGAAUCACUGUUUCAGAACGGUCUACGUGUAAGAGUAGUUCCCUCUUGGCUUCUAUGGCCCAUCAACAUUGGACUCUGUGUCUCAAUAGAAUCCCUUUGACCCUAUUGGCUUUCUGUUCUAGCCUUUCGACCCCUGUUCCUUUCUAUCAUGGUCUUUAUUUUACAGGUCUCAAUCAAUCUAGUCGUAUCUGCCACUGCAAAGUAAGAAGCAAACCUUUGGAUGGUAAUGACUUUAAAUAACAGUUCUAUCAAGCCUCUCACAAACCUCUCACAAACCUCUCAUAAACCUCUUAAUCCUUUUUUACUCAGACAAGACCAAAUUAGAUGCAUAGUGGGAUAGUUGGGUGAAUUGAACAUCAUAUUUUGUCACUGACAUAUUUGGAGUCUACAUCAAGGUCUCAAAUUCUUGUGCCUUGGUGCCUUUCAUGUUAUUAGGCAAAUAUCAAUUCAAAAAUGCUUGGACAAAUUCAUCUCAUGUAAGUGGAGUCGAUUUUCCUAUCUUAAGGGUCACAAACCAGAUUCAAGCUACAUCUUUUAGUUGGAAUCCAACUAUUCAACUAAUUGCUGGUUGCAACAUUCCAAAGCUAAACAUGUACAUUCCAUAUCCUCUAAGAAUCUCUACGGGAUCUUUUUUGGCAAUUGAACUAGUAAACAUAAAGAACUUAAGGUUCAUAAAAUUUGUUAAUGUCACCAUAAUUGCCCCACUGCUCGGUUCCAUUGCUGGCAUAUAAUCUGGGUCCUUAGAAUUGGAAUCUUUCCAUUUCUUUGGUUGUACUUCGCCCCAUCUACGGAACUCAGCAAAUUCGUGUGCCAAACUUUGCAGCCCUGCUACUAAAUCCUCUAAAGUGACACUUUUUCCCCGUCAGGUGAUCAUCUUUAGGUUCCUCAUAGUCAUCGCUAAUAGGCACAUCAUUGGGCUCUACAUUUUGAGCGUAUUUCGCAACUCUAGCUCUUUCACAACUCCUUAAUGAGGAUGUUCGUGGUUUAACUAUAGUUUCAUCGAGGGCAUCAUGUUUUGUCAUAGCCUUUUAGACAACUCUCGACUUAGGCGACAUCUUUACCUAAAUGAAGCAAAAUCACAUUCAAAAUUCAUAUUCAAAAUCAUGGGUAAGCUUACUGAUUACUUAAAGAUUUGUACAGCUUCCCACUCAUGAAUUGUGCUGCAAUCACAAAGCAAGAACAAGACUCUACACUAAUUCUGACUACUCCACUAACAGCAUAGACUGACCUAGGACUCUUUAGAACCUAGGUUCACUUUAACCAAGUUUGUCAUGACCCAAACUCGAGGGUCCAUGACCUACAUACAUGAGCUUAGCAAGCAAGCUUGCGAGAUUCGAGGAAACCUUAAUUCAAAAGUUCUAUUCAUCAUGAUCCAUUUGCAUAAAGCCCUCUAGCCAACAACAUACCAUGAAAUCAUUUUUAACAUUAAAACAUUAGCCAUCUUGGCUCAUUUCAUCUACGGGACUUAAACAUAAAUUGAUAUAGCCAUACAAUGGUUGUCUCAUCAAAUCUACUUAACAUCUCAUUAUGUUAACAUAAGGUAACGUAGUGCCUACAUAAUUAAUUUAAAACAAAACCAUUUCAUACAUUGCGAAAGUGUAAGACUUGCUAAUCACUCAACGGAGACGCAUUGCCAGUGGAUAACAUAACACUUGCCAAAAUUUACAUGUCUGACAUCAACAAUGCUAAGCCACCUGAUCCUCGGUGUUUAUUUAUCUGCACAAUAUAAUCAAAUAGGGUGAGUCACACUAGUACUUAGUGAACAGGAGCAUAAAUCAAUUCUAAUUGUGUAAGGACAGUUACUACACAUAUUCUCUAAAACAUAUGUAUACAUUAAUAAGUUCAAUAUACUUAUAAUAAGACAAGUUAGACCUCACUUGUCUUCAACACAUCAUUAUUACCUUGGUAACCGUACUACGUUGUUACAUAUAAACAUUAUACAUAAAAUGGCAGGGUGAUCUAUGUCUAUCAUGCCUACUGUAACCAAUCAUCAAUGCCAUUUAUCAACUUUAUCAAACGUAUAAAUUGGCCCACCACAUGGCCGUCUACAUGCUUUCUAAUCAUACUUACCUCUUAUGCAUUCACAUCAAUGCAAAAGUCUUUAGACUCCAUAAGCUCGCAUUUCAUCAUAUUACGUUUAUCAUAUACAUAUGGCUCUUACCUUAAGCCUUUACAUAAUCAUCAAUUCAUAGCAUAAUAUAUCAUAGUGUACAUUUGAUAUCUUAUGGCAUGCCACUGCACAUUCAUACAUCAUAACAUAUCAUAGAGUGGUCUUCCAUGGACAUAGCAUAGUCACCUGCGGUGGCCAACUGAUGGACAACAUACAUCAUCAUGUCAUGCCCCAUUGUCGAAGAAAAUGGCAGAGUCUAUAAUCAUCAUCCGUAAAGUGGUCUUCCCUAGACAUAACAUAGUCAUGUGUGGUGGCCAACUGACAAACAACAUACAUCAUCAUGUCACGUCCCAUUGUUGAAGCAAAUGGCAGAGUCUAUAAUCAUCAUCUAGAGUAUUCUCGAAAGAUGGCAUCAUAGCACUACAAGUGGGACAAAACCACCAUUCUUGCUUGCCACCAUCCUUGUAGGCAUCAUACAUAACCAUCGCACAACAGGUGAAAAUUGCAGGCAAGAUGAAACCACCAUCCUUGCAAGCAAAGCAAGAAUUGUAGGCAGGUCGAAACCACCAUCCUUGCGGGUAGAACAUAACAUCAUGCAUAGCAAGCGGGAAUCACAAACAAGACGAGACCACCAUCCCUGCUUACCAUUGACAACUCUAUCAUAUAUAGUUAUUUUGAUACAUUUUGGGGGCUUAAGUAGCUAGAUCUUUAAGAUUUUAAGUUUGAAUUUUAACAUUUUAGGUGUUUUUCUAGUUUAAGUUUGAUUACAUGUUGGGUAGUUAAUUUAAGUUAUUUUAGUUUAAUUUUAUGUUAUUUUGUUUUAAAUUACUUUAAAAGUAGUUCUUGUUGAUUUUUGUUAUUGCUUUUAUAGGAAAUUUAAUGAAAAAGGCUCAUUUGAUGAAAAUCUAUGCAAGUAUGGUGAUGGUUUCAUUUUAUAUGUUUUGGUAUUUUGACCAUAUCUCUUUAUAUAGGACUCAAAAUGAGAUGAUUUUUAGACCACUAGAAUGAUGAGAGGAAGGGCUACAACUUUUAUGUUUACCAAAUCACCCAAUUCUGAUCGAAGCACUACAAUAGUAUGCAUGGAAUGAAUAUGAUGCGAUUUUUAGAGAAUAUCUUUCACUCCAGAAGUUCAAUUGAUGUGAUUAUUAAGCCAUUUGAAAGUUAAGAGACAGGGAUAAAACUUUCAGGUUUAGUGUGUCACCCAAUUCAGAUCAUAUCGAGGUGAAAAUCUCAUUAAAAGAUGCUUGACUGUUGUAGUUCUGCACAAGGCAGCACGUGGAGAAAGGCCAUGACCUUGUGUUACUCAAGGCUACAGCGCCGAGGAAGCCAAGGCCGCAACACUAAGGAGAAAAAGGUUGCAGAGCUAGUGAAAAGAAGGGCACCAUACAUAUUUCUGAGGCUAGAAUGUCGCGGCACCAAGAAAUCAAUGUAGUGACGCCAGACUAUUUUCCAAAAAUAAAAAUUUGAUGCGAAUUUUGGAAAUUAGGUUACUUGGAGUCUAUUUAAGGGACCUUUUUUAGAGGCUUUAAGGAGGAGGCAACAAGUAACUAUUCUGAAGAAAAGGAGCCAAGAGCAAAGCAUGAAAACAAGAGAAUUUGAGAGAGAAUUGAGAUUACAAAGCUUUUAUUUUAGUUUCCAUCUCUAUUUUUGUGGUUUUCUUAUUUUCUUUUACUUGGAUUCAUGGUUAUUUUUCUUUGGAUAUUGUUUUUAUUAGAUAUUAUGAGAUAAACUAUUUUUUUAGGAUUGUGGUAGAUUUCAACAUGUAAUUUGAAUGUUAGUUUCUUUUUUAUUUACUAUAAAUGGGUAUAGUUUUGCUUAUUCAAAUUUAUUCUUAAUGCUUUUGAUUGUUUGGCCAACAAUUAACUGAUUUGUGAAUUUAAUUAAGACUUGACAGAGAGAUUUUACAUUGGACUAAGGUUUGAAUAGUGUAUGUUCAUGUUAAUUAGGUAAUCUGAUUCACGAUUCGAGUAGACAUACACCAGUUGCCAUACAUAGCCAAAUUAGAACAAUAGCUUAAUGAACCUUAUUUAAUUGAUUUUUAUUGACAUAUAGUGACACAAUUAAGUUAGAUAUGUGUACAAGUAUCUCAACAAAGACUUGUACCUAGCUUUCGAUUCUAGGUUAGUAAAACCACCCAUCGAUGUAAAUAAUAGGAGAAGCUAGUAUUAGAUGAAGUGUUGAAUGAACCCAUAAUCUUAAGUCUUUAAUCUAUUGCUUUUCUCACGCAUAUUUAAUUUUUGUUGAUUAAUUUAGUUUUUAUUUUAAUUUUGUUUUAAUUAGUUUUUCUUCGAUUUUCGGAUUACUUACAUAAGAUUAAUUUGUUAUAAAAUUAUAUUACUUAGUGAGAAUUUAGAAACAAAUCCUUGUGGGAACAAUACUCUAUUUAUACUAUAUUACUUGUUUGCGAUAACAUGCACUUGCGUGAAAAUUCGACAACAAGCACCAUCCCUGCUGGCAGCAUACGUGGUCACAGGGAUAUGGACACAUUCAACCUCAUAACAUAUAUUGUCUGGAAAUCCUCCACAGACAAAACAUGCUUGUUUCACAUCAUAACAUUAUCUGGAAUCAUUCACAAACAAUUCAUAUUUGUCAUCAUAAUCUUAACCAAUCAUGCUUAUCAUCAUAAUAUCUCAUCAUCAUCACAUUAGCCUAGGUAUUAUCCUUCUAGGCAUUUUACAUAGUUCUCAUGACAUUUAGUUAGUCUAGACAUAACAACUCUAGACGUGCAUAUAGUAUACAUAUCAAGUUAUACAUCAUUUUCUCAUGUCAUAGUUUCAUGAUCACAUCAGCAUCAUCAUACUUAACCCAAAUACAAUCCUUUUUGGCAAUUCACAUCACUCACAACAUCACUAGUCUAGGAAUGCUACUCUAGACAUACAUAUGGUGUCUACAUAACAUAUAUCAUGCAUUUUCAUUACAAAAGCAUACACACACCCUAGUCAUUAUGCUCCUAUACAUAAAAAUUCUCCAUUCACCUUGACACUUCAAGGGUUCCUCUAUCGACACUUGCACAAUCCAACUCCGUAACGCCUUAACUUCAAUUCAUUCAAUUAGCUUUUGAGUAGUAUCUUUAUUCCCAUAAUCAUCUAGCAUAUUACAAUGCAAUUUCAUCAAUAUUCAUACCACAUUAUUUUAUUUCAUAAUCACAUUCUAUCUUUCAAAGCAAACUUCAGCUUUUGCAGCAUAACAUAAUUUCUAACAAUUUAUCAUUCUAGUUCAACUUCCUCAUAUUCUUCAACAAUGUACAAAAUCCCUUACCUUAAACAUCACUUGACUCAUUUAAACUUCAAAUCCCAAGCCACAUUCACACACCACUAGUCACUAAGUUGAAACAUAAAAUCUCUACAUUAUCAAUAGUUUAAUUCGAAAACUAAUUGGUGAAAAGAUUCAACCUUACCUCUAGAUUAAUUUUCUGGCAUCCAUAUGCCUUCUUUCAUAUUCAAAUUCAUCAAAGGGGAUAAAGGUUUUGAGAGAGGGUGAGAGAGCCUUUAUUUCUCUUUUUAUUUCUAUUGGGUAGACUGCCUAAUGUCUUAUAUUGUUGUGCAAAUCUGCAUGCAUGUAUUGAUACAUUUAGGGAUGUAUUGAUACGUUUUCAUGAUGUAUCCUUAAAUCUAUCGAUACAUGAGGCAUUAUAUCGAUACUUUGCAUCCAUAAUGCUCCCCUUUCAAAUCUAUCAAUACAUUUGGACAAUGUAUCGAUAGACUUCAUAGUUACUAUUGUGUUCUUCAAAUCUAUCGAUACAUGAUUCCCAUAAUACCCCUUUUGUGUUCUUACUACCUUGAAUGUAUCUAUGCAUGGAGCUAAUGUAUCGAUACUUCUUGUCCAGAAUGCAUUUUUCCAAUACUUAAAGCAUUCCUAGUUCAAUCUUCUAACUCCCAUUUCAUUUCCAACCUAUAACUUCCUUCCAAUUCAUCAUAACUCAUUCAACAUCAACAUAUACUCUCAUUAUAUACCUCAAUUUCUAAUUCAUGCUCUAUGUCACAUAGCAUAUAAUUCAAACAUAGCAUAAAUUGCAUAUCUAUCAUACUUAUCUAAGUGCCAAAUAUAUGCAUUAUGUCAUUCAUGUGCCAAACAUAUGCACAACAUCAUUAUUUAUGUGCCAAACGUUUGCACAAUAUCAUUUAAACUUUCACUUACUCAUUUAUACAUAAUCAUCUUCUAUGGAUAUAAGCAUAUUCUCAAUUUCAUUGACACAUAAACUCAUUAGAUAUUAGCCUCUUAGGUUUCAAAUUAUCUAGUCUAUCAACUUAACCAUCAUAUACAGAUAACUUCGAAAAUAGGGUGUGUUACAUAUAAGUUCUAAGAAAUUAAUUUUUCUUUUCAAAACUUAGGUUUUUACUUGAUUUUGGAAUUCUCCAGCUCACCAAAGUAAAGUUACUUUAAACCCUAUUUAGUUGGAGUUUAAACUCAUAGUUAGGAUUGGAUUUAGACACUGAUUUUGGAUUAGGGAUUAAGUGAAGAAGUUUAUGGAAGGAUAGUUGAUUAUUUGUUAAGAAUAUAGUUAGAGAACAAGGCAUUAAUAAUGAAAACUUCAUUUUUAGGUGUUGUUGUAGAAGUUGGUAUUUUUGGAAAGGUCGAGCUUUCGACGAAAAGUGUUAAGAGGAAGGCAUUCUUCAACUAGGUAUAUAGCUGCGGCGUUUGUAAUUAUUUUGAUAUAAUUAAGCAUGCUUUGUCUACAAUCUUGCAUUUAAACAUAUUUUUGAUGAAGCAUAAAUUACUUCAAGGAUUGUGAUGUGAAACAAUGAGUUUUGAAUGUUUUGAUGAUAGCUAUAUAUAUACAAUGUAAAUAUGUCUAUUAUGUAUUUAGUUUUAUGCAUAGGGAACAAACACUCUGAAUGUUUUAAUAUCUCAAAACUUUGAUAUUCUUCUGUAAAUUGCUUAGAUGAAUGGCAUUGAAAUUUGAAAUGAAAAUGAUUUUGAAAAGACCCUAACUUUAUCAGUCAUGAGCAUAUCUUAGUCCUCAGCAAUCUUGUACAUAAAUCAGUAGCACAUCGUGGCUGCAAUUUACCAAUCUUAUGUCCAUCCUAUUGUUGCCUUGAUUGCCUUUAUAUUAUUUACGAAUCUUGCCUUAUAGCAUCAUCGUAGGAGAUACAACUCCCAUUUCAUCUGCUACAUUCUUUGUUUGUCUUCCAUGAUGGUAAUGACAAUAAGUGUCAUGAUUGUAAAUUGGAAUUCCAAUUGGUUUUUCUGGUGGACAAUUUCAUUAUUUAUGGAUGUUUGUAAUUUAAACUUAACCUCCACUUAGUGUGUGCCAGUUCCUUUAGGUGGGUCUUAAAAUCUAGUUCCCACAAGCACAAUCUUUACUAAUUUGUAACAGAUAGCGAAAUGUUCUUAGACCGAUUUGGAAAACUCCAUGAAUUUAGCUUCUUGUUUAAUACCUGCGGUAAAAUGUGCAACGAACCCUUCUAUCAUUGCAUGUGGAGUUUGCAAUCAAUUUCAUUUGAAAUGUGUUCCUACACCAUUGUUAAAAUAAAUAUAUAAAUUGUCUAAUUAGAGUUAUAAUAUAAUACUAUUCACUAGUUAACAAACGAUAAAAUCUAUAUAUCGUAUCAAUCCUUUUACCAGUAAAGACCGUUUUGUUGAAAAUGACUUGGGAGAGUACUAUUUUGUUAUUUGUGAAGAAGAAAGACAUCUAAAGAAUUAUGUCUAUUAUUGAUUUCAAACAUUUUUUAGUAUAUAUUUAUGAUUUAUUCCAUUUAUAAAUAAGAAUUCUAAUUCUAUUGAAAGAAUUUUAUUAUAUAGAUUUAUUUGAUGCAAUUGCUUUAUCAUCAGAGUUUGAAUUUUAUAUUAAUGUUUUUUGCUCAAUACAUUUUAUAUUAAUGUUACAAGCAAGAAACUCUAUGUUAAUUUGAUAUAUUUUGUACAUGGGACAAACUUUACUUGUUAAUGCUAAUAACUGUUAAUAUGCCCUUGAUUAAUUUACCGCUAUGUUCAAUGCAUGAUUACUAUUUAAAAAUAGAAAAAGAAAACAACAAGUAUGACGUCAUAUACUAGUUUGAGUUCAUUUUUUAGUAACUUUUAACCAAACAAUAAACAAUUAAUCACUAGUUUCUAUUUCGUCUGAUAGCAUUUUUAAUCGAUGAUGAUGCUUAAAUUUAUCUUUUGAUGGUUUUGGGUUUCCAGAUCAAGUUAUUAUAAAAUUGUCAACUUCUAUAACUAACAAGUAGUAUUAAUAAUGGAAGUUGGGAAAGUUUUAACUUUUUACUAUUACACUUAAAUUUUAUACUCGAUUUCAAACAAAAUAUAUGUUCAUUUUUUAAAUAAAACAAAAUUUUUGGAAUAAUUAUCUUUUUUACUUUACACCUUUAAAAAUUGCAAAAAUUAAAGAAAUUAACUCAUCUAAAGUAUAUCAAUGAAGAGUAAUAUUGAAAAAAUGUUUUAAUCUUUUUUAAAAAAAUAAAUAUUAUUUUGAAACAUUCUAAAAUAGUAAAGUACAAAUUCCAUUUACAUCUUCUCAAUCAUUGUCUUGGUUUUUAUGCCAUUUCAUGGAAUUCCCACUCCUUGGAUGCCGACACAUAUGUUAAUAAUGCAUCACUUACUUUGAUGAAUAAAAUAUUAAUUAGGUCCAUUUCAAGUGGCCACAAUUUCCAAUCUUCUCUCUCCCUCUUUGAUAAGUGGGUGACUUCUGCUCCAUCUUGACUUGCCAAGUGAGAGAGGUAGGGAAAAAGAAAAAAAAAUAUGGGGUUUGAUCAGAAGAAAAAAGGAGAAAUUUCUCUGGCGUUUGUAUUGAUGAUAGUACUCCUGGAAACAAAUACUUGUAGAGCUGCUCUUAUAGUGAAGCGCAACCCCUCUUACCAGCGCAAUGGCCGCCUCGACCACUACCGAAUUGCAGAAGAUUUGGAGUUGGAGUUGGACUUGUUGGUAAGUUCUAACUUUAUCAGAAUCCUCGCGGAUGAUGGCAAACCGGUGGAUAUUUACGCCACGCUGGACUCUGGACAUCAAGCUCAAAAAAACUGCCCAUCUGGUUCAUAUGAACAGUGCUCGGCCAAAGGUGGUGGUAACCCUGAUUGUAAGAGCAUCUACAAUAGAGAUUGCCACUAAAAGCAACAAGGUUAAGUCCCUAUGGAUAGCCGUCAAUUUCAACUCAAUGUCCUACCUGCUUCUGGUUCUUCCUUUUGUGUGUUAUUUGCCUUCAAUCCUUUCGUCCUUUUACUGUAACUUUUAUGCUAGUCUACUUUUCCGGUGUGCAUCCUUCCUCUCGUUAUUAAAUGGGUAGUGCUAAAUGGGCUGAAAAAUUAUGAUUAGAAACUAGGGCAUUGCUCCUAGAAAUUGUAUUAGUUUACAAGUAAUGCUGUCGUGUGGUCUGGCUUUUCUGUUUUUCAGAUUUUGGUUCAAUCAACGAUUUUCAAUAAAUUCUCGCAUAUAUCUUUUUCCUUUCGUUUGUUUUCUUUUUCUUUAUUCUGCAUGUGGGCAGAAUUUAAGGAGGCCUAUAAGUAGAAAAAAAAACAUGCAAAAGGCGUGAGACAGCUUCAUGCUCCAUUUGCCCCUAUGGGCCAAGAACUCCAUGUCCAAGCAUCCGC
rnacentral:lncRNA from 1 species